rnacentral:lncRNA from 1 species
GAGGCUAGCAAUUUGGUCAUGACUGAUUAUGGGGUCGAGGUUUUGUCAGUGAAUUUGAAUAGCUUGCGUAAGAUCAAUGGGGUCGAGGUUUUGGGAAUCAUCAGCUUACUGAUAGGAAGUCCUAAACCUCAUUGCUCUUAAAUAUGUAAAGAAGGAGGAAGUAAUUGAAGAUCCUCUUAAGUAAGUAUAUAUCUAGGCUUUCUUAUACAACUGCUUUAUGAUUAUUUUUUUGGUUGAAAUGUCUGUUCGACCAUUGCUUUGAGUUGUAAAUUUACUGUAUGAUUGGUGAUUUUAUGGUCCUAACUUUAAUUGGAAGCAUUUAAGAGAUUUCUUGGUGUUAAUUCCUUCACAUAAGAAUGUCUUUGUGAGUAAUAGACUCGUAAAAAAAUAUUAAUAGUCUAUCUACCUUUGCAAGGCAUUGAGAUGGAGGAUUUCCCUUUUAUUACCCUAAAAGGGAUCCUCUCUAUACUACGUAGAGUGUUGCUUUUAGUUGAAUUUCAGUGUCUAAGAUCCACAUUGCUCAAUGGAGCUUUGGUUUUGAAUGUUUGCGUACUUCUUGAUGAACAUUACCGCUACUCGAGGUUUACAACUUGAUUAUCUCAGAUGAAUCCUUGUUCAUGGUGGCCAAUGCUUUUCUCCCGCUGUACGCACUUUCACAUUUCUAGCGUACAUAUUUCACGUUUAAGUUCUUAUCUUUGGUUCAAGUAGAUUUUUUUUGCUCUUGAGUGCAUACCAAUCACUAAAGUUCUUAUCUUUGGUUCAAGUGGAUUUUUUGACAUAGGAUUUUAUCCCAAUACCAAUCCUCCUCCUUUCCUCUUUCUUUUCAUUCAUAAACAUAGUACGGUUUAGGAUUUCUUCUUCAACUCUACCGAUUCUUUUGUUUUAUCCACAUUGAACCUCUUAUUCUUGGUGGAUUUGAUUUCAAAAUAAAAUUGCUAUAUCACGAGGGGAUCUUAUCUUGAAUUAGAGGGAUUUUUGUGCAGAUUUAAGGUGAAUUUAGUUGAAUUUUCAAAGAAAAAUUCAAGUUGGAAUAUGAAUAAUUGAAAUUGUCCAGCGCGGCUUUAUGAACAACUAACUUGUAUUCAUGAAUUCAAAGAUAUACUUGCAUUCAUGUAUUUAGAAAUCAAGAACGACAGCAACGAUAUUUUCAGAUAUCACAACUACAGCGAGUGAAGAAGAUGAAACCCAAUGCCCAAAACUCCCUUGUUUUUUUCUAUGUUUCUAUACCCUUUUGUUUUGUUUUUCAUGGUAUCUAAUGCUCUCUAUCCAUAUUUGGAAAGCGAGUGUAUAUGAAUGUUUAUAUCUGAAUGAACUUCCUCCAAUUGAAUGUUUUUUAUCUAAAAAACAUUUAUGUGUUAUAUCAAGGAAUCUAGUGAAUAUUUAUGUUGUAGCUAGAUUCUAUACAUAAUGUUUCUAGUUUGAGAUAUGAAUUUAUGGUGAUGGUUGAGUGAUUUUUCUGGUAUACUGAAUAUUUAAGUUUUAGCUUAGAUUGUACACAUAACAUUUCUCGUUUGAGAUCAGAAUUUAUGGUGAUGGUUGAGCGAUUUUUUUGGUGAUGAUAUAAAUGUUUCUCAUAAAAUAAUAUAAGUGAUAUAGUGAUACAUACCUGAUGCAUAUAGUCGAAUUAAUUUUUUUGAAAAUACAAUGAUUCAAAACGACAAACCAUAAAAUCAAUGUAUCCAACAAGUUGAGAAAGUGUGGAUACAUCUUGGUUGAGCAAAAGAUAUAGUGUAUCCAACUAAAUUAAGUGAACUGAAUGACCGACUAACAUAAUUCAGCUGAAGUAAAGCAUGAAAUAUGAAACGAAAUCAUUAAAAGCUUUACAAACAGGUAUGCAAUGAUAGCAAAAUAUUUACAUAAAAUACUUCACUUUCUUGGGGAGUUUAUCUAACUAACAACCAUUACUAAGAGUUUCGUGAUGAUACAACGUCUUAACCAUGUUGCCAGAACCACCCUAUACCUUGUCGGGAUAUAGGAGGCAACUUAACUUUUGGAUCCAUCUAAAGGCCUUCUUGAGGCUGGUGAGGAGUCACCCAAAUUACAGUACAAUCCUAUCUACACUGGUGGAGCAGGUUAUGGGGUUUAAGUUGUCUUUUAACUCUUAUCCAAAUCGGAGCUCAAUACUAUUACCAAAAUAUAUGUAUUAAUGCUCAUAUAAUAAUACUCAUUAUAUUGAAUUAGUACUAAAAAGGACAUCUUUAAAGGAUUACUAAUCUUUAGACUGAAAAUUCUUCUGAAAAACUAAAUAUGUUUUUCUUUAAAUAGGAAUACUUUUCUACAUGAAAAAAUAAUACAUUUGGAACCAUAAGUGGCCAUUUCAAAUGACGCUUAAAAUAUACUUGACAUACAUUAAAUUUUGAAAUCACUCUAUGGAAAUAAUUGCACAAAGGCUUUCACAAGUUUCAUCGACAAGGGUUCAUAUGAUAAUAAAGUCAUUAACAACUCAAGAAUCAAUAUGUAUAAAGUAUUAUAGUCUCAAUAGUUAAGAAAUCAGAACUCAGAAUAAGAAACACAAGACAAAUUUAGGAUUCAUGGAACUUUGGGUAGAACCCUAGAUUUAUGACUAAAUUUAGUUGUAGGGCAUGAGGACCGACUUAAUCCAACACUAUGAAUAUCCCUACAUACCUAGAAGAACAAAGUUCUUGAAGAAACCUUUAGAAGAUGCUUGAAACCCCUAGCUUUCAAUUCUUGGAUCCUUUCUCUAAGUCUUGGGAGUGAUUAUGAGAGUGUUAGGGCUGAACUAAACUGAAAAGAACCUUAAAUAGGUGUAAAACCAUCGGCUUAAGGCUUAAAAAGGGUGGGGAAAAGACUGAAUUAACCCCACCCAAAAUUGGCAGGACUGUCCACAAAGAGGCUUCUACGGUCCAUACUCUCAUCUACAGACGUACUGUCCACUCAUGGUUCCCACUAAUGGAGAUUGAGUCUUUGAGUUGAACUUCGAACCAAGAACCAUGACACGUACUACAAACCACGAGUCGUACCCCUUCUCAUACAGUGACCCUUUGCCAAAGGCCAAGAUUCUUAGGCCUAAAAACCACAAUGGCCAAGUACGGUCCAUACAUCCUUUGAUGGGCCGUACUAGCAAGUCAUAAUCAUAUCAUUGGAGACUCAACUUUAUAAAGAUCAACUACAAAUAGAAUUCUGUUGGAUGAAAAAGGCAUAAAUAAAUGAAAGAGUUUGAGAAACAGAAGGUUUCUUUUACUGCAAAACUUUCUUACUUAGAAAGCAAAACUCCUAUUGCCCUUUUAUAGGCUUACAAUUAACUACUAAAGCUAAAAUAAAGCAACAUACAAAUAAUGGAAAUCAUGGAAAAGUGGUAAACAUGGUCCACUACAAUAAGAAUAUAAUUUCAUUGACUAAGUAAAACAUAAACCCACUAAUCCUAGAAAAUAGACCCACAAACUGAUUUCUGCAAACUAACUAUUUUGAAGAAUUAGUCAACACUCACCCUUUAUUCAAAAUCACAAACUCCCAUUUGUCGUCUAAAGAAGUCAUGCUUGUUGCAGGGCAGCGACUUCUUAAGAACAUCAACAGUCUGUUUAUUUGUGCCACAAAAUUCUAGUGAGAUUAUUCCACCAGCGACUAGAUCGCGAAUAAAGUGAUAACGAGUGUCGAUGUGCUUUGUUCUACUGUGAAAAAUAGGAUUUUUUUUCAUAGAAAUUGUCUCCUUGUUGUCACACCAUAUUUCCAUUGAACCAAUCUGCUGUUGUUGAAGAUCUGCUAACAAUUUUCUUAACCAAACAGCUUGACAACAUGCUGAAGUUGCAACCAUGUAUUCUGCUUCCAAAGAUGACAAAGCUACUGUAUCUUGUUUUUUUGAACUCCAUGAAACUGCUCCAGAGCCAAGACUAAAAAUGUUCCCAAAUGUGCUCCUGCGAUCAUCCAAGCUACUUGCCCAAUCACUAUCAGUAAAGCCAAUUAAUAUGAAACCAGAUACUUUUGAGUACCAAAUUCCAUGACUUGUUGUGCCAGCAACAUAUCGCAAGAUCCUCUUGGCUGCACCUAGGUGUUGCUUUGAAGGACUAUGCAUAAACCUUGAAAUCAAACUGAUAGAAAAUGCUAUAUCGAGCCUUGUGUGCAAUAAGUAGUUUAGACCACCAACCAAGCUUCUAUAAUAAGAAGCAUUUGUUGCACAUGUACCAUCAUCGAGUACCAACUUCUCAUUCAUAUUCAUAGGCGUGGGAGAUGGAUUACAAUUCAGCAUGUUGAACCUCUUUAAAAGUUCAGUUGCAUAUUUCCUUUGUGAAAUAAAAAUUCCAUCCGAAUCUUGUCUCACCUCAAGCCCAAGAAAAUAAUGCAGCAUACCCAAGUCGGACAUCUCAAAUUUACUCAUCAUGCAACUCUUAAAUUCAGAAACAAUAGAUUCACAAGAGCCCAUAUAUAUAAUAUCAUCGACAUAAAGACAAACAACCAGAAAGUCACUAUUACCUCGCUUCUUCACAUAAAGUGUAGGUUCAUUGUCACUUUUUCUGAACUGCUGCUCUUGAAAAAAAGAGUCAAUUUUGCUAUACCAUGCCCGUGGUGCUUGCUUUAAACCGUACAAUGCCUUCUUCAAUCUGUAUACUUUGCUCUUCCCUUCACUAAAGAUGAAGCCUUCAGGUUGGCAAACAUAAACUUCUUCUUGUAAGUCGCCAUUUAGGAAAGCAGACUUAACAUCAAAUUGGUACACAUGCCAACCAAGUUGAACAGUCAAGGCUAGAGUAGUUCUUACCGUUUUGAAGUGAGCUACUGGUGAGAAUGUCUCAUUAAAAUCGAUGCCUUGUUGUUGAGAGUAUCCUUUUGCAACAAGUCGAGCUUUAUGCCUUUUGACACUUCCAUCAGCAUUGUACUUUGUUUUGAAAAUCCAUUUUAGCCCGAUAACAUUCUUCCCUUCCGGCAAAUCAACUAGCUCUCAGGUCUGAUUUUUCUCGAUAGCAUGAUAUCUUCAAUCAUCGCAUCCUGCCACUCAGGUUGCUUUGCAGCUUCUUCAUAACAUGUCGGUUCGGCAGCUAACAGGGCAAAGCUACAAGAUGCAUAAACAUUUUGCAGUGACCGGAACUUUGUUGGUGGCGUCUCGCUGGAUGACGUCGAAGGUGGAGAACGAGAGCUUGAUAGAGUAGAAUUGUUGCUCCUUCUAUGAGCAGUAUGGUCAGUAUUGCUGCUACCAGGUGUGGAAAGAUCAGAACUUGUUGUUUCAAUUAUCCCUGUAUGCCCAACUUCUGCGUGAGCUGGAAUAUGGAUGAUUGAAUCUUCUUCCUUAUCGUUCCAUUCCCAGGCUACUUCUUCAUUAAAUACAACAUUCCUGCUAAUAAUCACUUUGCCACUAGUAGGAUUAUAUAGUCUAUAUGCUUUGGAUUGAGGACUAUAACCAAUGAAAAUGCAUUUCUCUGAUUUUUCAUCUAGCUUAGAAGGUAAAUUAACCAAAGCAUUAAGCUAUACAACCAAAAACUUUCAAGUGGCUUACUCGUGGUUUCCGUCCCAUCCAUGCUUCAUAUGGAAUUCGAUUCAAAACAGCUUUUGUUGGAGAGAUGUUUAAGAGGUACCCAGCUGCAACCACUGCUUCUCCCCAAAAAUGAAUAGGAAGUCCCCUUGCAUUAAGUAAGCUUCUGGCCAUCUCAACCACAUUACGAUUCUUCCACUAGCGACUACAUUUUGUUGUGGCGAGUACGGUGUUGUAAGCUCCCUGCGAAUUCCAUUCUCUUUACAAAACAAAGUAAAAUCAUUAGAUAAAAAUUCACCACCACGGUCUGUGCGAAGAGCCUUAAUGUUGCAGUCUGUUUGCUUCUCCACGAGUGCUUUGAAUAUCUUGAAAUUCCCAAAUGCCUUUGAUUUGAAAUUCAGAAAAUAAGCCCAACUCACACGGCUAUAAUCAUCAGUAAAUAGAAGAAAAUACCAACUCCCACCAAGUGACUCGGUCUUCAUUGGUCCACAUAGGUCGGCAUGUACAAGCUCAAGACAACCGGCAGCACUCCAUGAUUUUCCUACGGGAAAUGAUUUUCUACUUUGUUUCCAGAAAAUGCAACCUUCACAUAAAUCAAGAUCACCCAUUUCUGGUAACCCAACUAUCACAUUCAUCCUAGUCAAUAAUUUCAGCCCAUUAAUGUUCAAAUGGCCAUAGCGAAGAUGCCAUAGUUGAGUUUCAUUAACACCUUUAGAAAUUAAGGCAUUAUUUUCCACACUUGAAACAUUAAGGGGAAACAUGUUAUUUUGGGUCAUAGGCACAACUGCUAUAGUCUGACCAGACUUAAUAUCACUGACAAUACAUGAACUAUUUUUAAACAAAACAAAGUAACCACUUGCCAUCAAUUGUCCAACACUCAACAAAUUAUGUGCCAAACCAGGAACAAGUUGCACAUCGCAAAGGAGUUUUACAUUACCCUUCAUUGUCUUGAUGGCUAUGGUUCCUUUGCCUUCAACUCGAACUUGCUUGUCAUCACCAAGUCGAACCUCACUUUUUUGUGACUCAUCGAGGUCUCUAAAUAAAGACCUUAUGCCAGUCAUAUGAUUCGAGCAUCCACUAUCAAUAAACAAAACAUUAUCAGUAAUGUUAGUGAUUGAAGAAUGAGCCAUGAAGAGCUUACUUUCAUUCUCUGCGUUCUCAGAGAAAUUUGCUUGAUUCUGCUCGUCCUUUUGCUUAGUCCAACAAUAUGUUUCAGUAUGACCAAACUUCUUGCAAUACUGGCACAGAAAGUCACUCUUGGGCUGACGAGUGUCAUUGAAUUGACUUCUGCCUCUACCGCGGCCUCGACCUCGGCCAUGAAAUAUGCCUCUUCCUCUACCUCUGCCAGAUGACUCCUCUUUCACCUGGAUGCUUUUUCUUCAAUCUUCUCAUCAGACCUAUUUAUCCUAUCUUCAUGAGAUAAUAAAGAAUCCAUUAAUUCAUCAAAUGAAUAAUCAGAUAAAUCCUUGGAUUCUUCAAUAGCAGCAACCACAUGCUCAAUUUUUUUGGUUAAAGAUCUCAACACCUUUUCCACAACAAUUUCAUCACUAAUAUUCUCCCCAUACGACUUCAUGAGAUUAACAAUGGAAGAAACUCUAGACAUAUAAUCUUGAACAAAUUCAUUACUUUUCAUAAGUAAGGUUUCAAAAUCACGAUGCAAAGUUUGUAAUUUUACAACAAUUACCUUCUUAUCUCCCAUAUACUCCUGAUGCAGAAUUUCCCAAGCUUCGUGAGAAGUCUCUGCUGCUGAAAUUCGGGGAAAGAUAUCAUCAUGAAGGGAUUGUUGAAUAAGGAACAACGCCUUCGAGUCUUUCUUGCGAUUCUCUUAUAGUCGUUGUGCAUGGCCUUCAUCCGGAUCUGCAAAUCCACUCUCCACCAAGUCCCACAACUCUUGAGACUUGAAGAGAGUCUUCAUCUUAAGACUCCAAAAAUGAUAAUUCAUCCCUUUGAAAAUUGGAAGAUGUUGGGAGUUACUGUUAGAGUUUGCUGCCAUUGUUUCUCUGGUUUGGUAUUUCUGGGGCUAGAAUUUUCUCUCGUUACUCUUAAAGCUGGCGCUGAUACCAAAUUUGUUGGAUGAAAAAGGCAAAAAUAAAUGAAAGGCUUUGAGAGACAGAAGGUUUCUUUUACUGCAAAACUUUCUUACUUAAAAACCAAAACUCAUAUUACCCUUUUAUAGGCUUACAAUUAACUACUAAAGCUAAAAUAAAGCAACACACAAAAAAUGGAAAACAUGGAUAAAUGGUAAACAUGGUCCACUACAAUAAGAAUAUAAUUCCAUUGACUAAGUAAAACAUAAACCCACUAAUCCUAGAAAAUAAACCCACAAACUGAUUUCUGCAAACUAACUAUUUUGAAGAAUUAGUCAACAAAUUAAAUUCUACAAUCUGUAGUUCCUUGUAUGGCCCGUACAAGCCAUCGAUAGAACUUAAAAUGCCAAAAUUUCAUCAAGUCUAAUAUCUAUUCAACGAGCCUCAUCCACAACCCAUAGAACCAUCCAUGAUCCAUACUUUUGGCUCAUGGAAUCCCAUCUAAGACUUAACAGUUUCCUAAACUCCAGGAAAGUAACAACAACUUGCUCAUACGGCCCGUAAAAUCUUGUUAGGUCCGUACAAGGUCUUCUAGAAUUAGUGCACCAACAACUUUCUACAACUUUUCAACUUCCAAUUGACGUUUACAUUUUCGAAGUGUUACAUUUAUGUAGCAUAACCCAAAGGUUUUGUUGUUCAAAGAAGUAAAGGCAAGGUGUAUAAGCUUCAACUAGUGUCAUUCCAUUCACGGCCUUUGUGGUUUGUCUAUUUUGCAAGUAAAUCGAUGUGUUUACCGCCUUUUCCCAACAAGACAUGGAAACUCAUUGACAAUCCUGGAACUAAGCAAUUUAUUGUAUUUAAAUGGGUGUACAUAUAUAGUGAAGUUUAAUGCAGAUGUAUCUAUCAACAAGUACACAUCAAAGCUUGUUGUUAAAGGUUAUUCUCAACAGCCUGGAUAUGAUUAAUUUUGCACAUGUUGCAAGAAUGGACACCAUCAGAAUUUUCAUUGCAUUGGCAUUACAAAUGAAGUGGAAAAUCAUGCAUUAAGAUGUCAAAUAUGCCUUCUCGAAUAAUUUUCUAGAAGAGGAGAUUUAUGUAGCUCAACCUGAAGGUUUUGUAGUUCAAGGAAGUGAAGGUAAGGUGUAUAAGAUUCAACUAGUGUCAUUCCAUUCACGGCCCUUGUUGGUAAUCUAUUUUGCAACUAAUGGAUGUGUUUACCGCCUCUGCCAAAAAUGACUUUGGCAACUUUCUCUUUAUAUAGCUCGGUUGCUUCUUGUUCCUUACAGGCAGAAGUUUUACUAUAUCUGGGAUUGAACUAUUAUUGGUGCAUUGACAAAAGUAGCAGAUAAAAUUAUGUCUAACUCAAUACCUACCAUUGAUUUCUCACCCGAGUCAAUUUCUACUCUUUUUUCUUCCAACUUUAGAACAUCAUCACACAAAAUCUGUAAAACCAUGAUUCUGUGUGAUGAUGAUCUGAAUUCUAAAGAAAUAAAAGCAGAAAUUGACACACAUGAAGAAUAAAUGGUAGGUAUUGAGUUAGAUGAAACUACAAGUUUUGCUUUUUUCAGUGCACCAAGAAUACUUUAUCCUAGAUAUGCUAAAACUUUUUCCUACAAGGAACAGAAGCAACCGAGCUCGCUAAACAAAAAGUGGCCAAAAUCUUUUUUGGGCAGAGGCUGUAAACACAUCGAUUUACUUGAAAACUAGAUUACCAACAAAGGUCAUGUAUGGAUGGACACCAAUGAAGCUUGGAAUUGCAUAAAACUAUCAAUAUGGCAUCUAAACGUAUUUGGUUCAUUGUCUUAUCCUCAUGUACCGGCUGUAAAAGAGAGCAAGCUUGAUGAAAAUUCUGAAAAACAAUUUUGGUUUGUUAGAGCUCUCUCUCUAAGGGUUAUAGAAUUUACAAUAUUGAAUAUGGGUAAGUGUUUAUAAGUAGAAAUCUGAAGGUGGAUGAAGAUGCUUGUUGGAAUUGGAAUAUCUCUCAAGUUAGAAGGAUAGAUGUUGAACCUGUUGCAAGGAUGGACAUCAUCAAAAUAGUGAUUUCAUUGGCAGCACAAAUGAAGUGGAAAAUCUGGCAUUAGAUGUUAAAUCGGCCUUCUUGAAUAGUUUUCAAGAAAUUUAAGUAGCUCAACUUGAAGUUUUUUUAGUUCGGGAAAGUGAAGGUAAGGUGUAUAAGCUUCAACUAGGGUCGUUUCAUCCACGAACCUUGUUGGUAGUCUAGUUCGCAAGUAAAUCGAUGUGUUUACUGCCUCUUCCAAAAAAGACUUUGGUAAUUUUUUCUUUAUAGAGCUUGGUUGCUUCUUAAUCGUUAUUGGCAUAAGUUUUAGCAUAUCUGGGAUGGACUAUUCUUACUGCACUGACACAAGCAACACAUGUACUUAUAUCUGACUCAAUAUCUACCAUCGAUUCUUAACUCAUGUCACUACUCUUAUUUCUUUGAAAUUUAGAACAUUUUUUUUAGAAUUUAGAAUAUCAUCACACACAAUCUGCAAAACAUUAUUUUGUCUGAUGAUGUUCUAAAUUUUGAAGAAAUAAGAGCAAAAAUAGAUAUGCAUGAAGAACGAAUAAUAGGUAUAUAGUUAGAUAUAUGUACAUGUAUUGCUUCAGUCAGUGCACCAAGAAUAUUUCAUCCCAGAUAUACUAAAACUUCGUCUUGUAAGUAACAAGAAGCAACUGAGAUCUUUAAAGAAAAAUUUGCCACAGUCUUUUUUGGGAAGAUGCAGUAAGCACAUCGAUGUACUUGCAAAAUAGACUACCAACAAGCGAUGUGGAUGUAAUAAGACAUCUAAAGGUGUUUGGUUCAUUGUGUUAUACCCAUGUACCAACUGUCAAACAGAGCAACCUUGACAAAAAAAUGGAAAAAUGAAUUUUUGUUGGCUAUAACUCUAUCUCUAAGGGUUAUAGAAUUUACAAUAUUGAAUCUGGGACAUUUUUCAUAAGUAGAUAUAUGUAUGUGGAUGAAGAUUCUUAUUGUGAUUGAAUAUAUCUCAAGUCAGAAGGAUGGAUGUUGAACCAGUAUCAAAAGAUUCAAAUGAAGACUUGGAAGUAAAGAAUGAUGAAAUUUUUUCUAUUAGAGGUACUAGACCUUUGGUAGAAAUUUAUGGAAGAUGUAAUCUUGUUAUCCUGGAAUGUUCAAAAUUUGAAGAUGCUAGUGGGAUUGAAGAAUGCAAGUGAGAGCAGUGAUUGAGAAGAAUGAGACAUCGAAACUCAUUGAAAAACCAGAAACUAAGCCAGUUAUUGGAGUUAAAUGGGUUUAUAGUGUGAAGUUAAAUGAAUAUGGAUUUAUAACAAGAACAAAGCAAGCUGGUUAUUAAAGGUUAUUCUCAACAACCUGGAAUUGAUUAUUCAGAUACUUUUGCACCUGUUGCAAGGAUGGACACUAUCAGAAUUUUGAUUGCAUUGGAAGCAUAAAUGAAGGGGAAAUUAAAAUCCGACAUUUAGAUGUCAAAUCUUCCUUCUAAAAUUGUUAUCUAGCAGAGGAGAUUUAUGUAGCUCAACCCAAAGUUUUGUAGUUCAAGGAAGUGAAGGUACAGUGUAUAAGUUUCUAGUGGUUACAUUCCAUCCACGACCCUUGUUUGUAAUCUAUUUUGCGGGUAAAUCGAUGUGUUGCCGCCUCUGCCCAAAAAGUCUUUGGAAACUUUUUCUUUAUAGAGCUCAGUUACUUUUUGUUCCUUACAGGCAGAAGUUUUGGCAUAUCUGGGAUGAACUAAUCUUGGAGCAUUGACAGAAGCAACACCUGUACUUAUAUCUGACUUUAUACCUACCAUUAACUCUUCACGCUUCUCAAUUUCUGCUCUUAUUUCUUCAGAAUUUAGAACUCUAUCACACAAAAUCUGCAAAAUAAUAAUUUUGUGUGAUGAUGUUCUAAACUGUUAAGAAAUAAGAGCAGAAAAAGACAUCCAUGAAGAAUCAAUGGUAGGUAUAAAAUCAAUUAUAAGUACAGGUGUUUCUUAUGUCAAUGCUCCAAGAAUAGCUCAUUUCUAAUAUGCUAAAACUUCUGCAUGUAAGGAAAAAGAAGCUAUCGAGUUCUAUAAAGAAAGAGUUUCCAAAGUCCUUUUUGAGCAGAGGCCGUAAAAACAUCUAUUUACUUGUAAAAUAGACUACCAACUAUGGUUGUGGAUGGAAUGAUACCAGUUGAAGCUUGGAAUUGCAUAAAACCAUAAAUAAUACAUUUAACGGUGUUUGGUUCAUUGUGCUAUACUCAUGUACCAGCUAUCAAACGGUGCAAGCUUGAUGAAAAAACUAAAAAGAAUAUUUUUUGUUGGUUGCAGCUCUAUCUCUAAGGGCUAUAGAAUUUACAAUAUUGAAUUUGUGAAAGAUUUUAUAAGAAGAGAUGUGAAGGUGGAUGAAGACGCCUAUUGGAAUUUGAAUAUCGCUCAAGUCAGAAGGAUGGAUGUUGAACCUACGUUAGAAGAUUCAAAUGAAGAUUUGGAAGCAGAGAAUGAUAAAGCUUUUUUUGUUAGAGGUACUAGACCUUUUGCAGAAAUUUGUGGAAGAUGUAAUCUUGUUUUCCCUAAACCUUCAAACUUUCAAGAUGCCGGUGGGAUUGAAGAAUGGAUGAGAUCAAUGAAGGACGAAAUAUCCAUGAUUGAGAAGAACAAGACAUGGAAGCUUAUUGACAAACUUGAAACAAAGCAAGUAAUUGGAGUUAAAUAGGCUUACUGAGUGAAGUUGAAUGCAGAUGGAUCUAUCAACAAGAACAAAUCAAAGUUGGUUGAUAAAGGUUAUUAUCGACAUCCUUGAGUUCAUUAUUUAGAUACUUUCACACUUUUUCCAAGAAUGGACACCAUUAUAAUUUUGAUUGCAUUGGCAACACAAAUGAAGUGGAAAAUCUGGCAUUUAGAUGUCAAAUCUGCCUUCUUGAAUGGUUUGCUAGAAGAGGAGAUUUAUGUAGCUCGACCCAAAGGUUUUGUAGUUCAAGAAAGUGACGAUGAGGUGUAUAAUCUUCAACUGGUGUCAUUCCAUCCAUUGCCCUUUUUGGUAGUCUAUUUUGCAAGUAAAUCAAUGUGUUUACUGCCUUUAGUCAAAAAGAGUUUGACAACUUUUUCUUCAUAGAGAUCGGUAGCUUCUUGUUACUUAUAAGGAGAAGUUUUAGCAUAUCUGGUAUGAACAAUUCUUGGUGCACUGACAAAAGCAACACUAGUACUUAUAUCUAACUCGAUAGUUACCAUUGUUUCUUCACACAUGUCAAUUUCUGCUCUUAUUUCUUCAAAAUUAGAGACAUCGUCACACAAUAUCCGCAAAACAUGAUUUUGUCUGAUGAUGUUAUAAAUUCUUAAGAAGUAAGAGCAGAAAUUGAUACACAUGAAGAAGUAAUGGUAGGUAUUGAGUCAGAUAUCAGUACAUGUGUUUCUUCUAUUAAUGCACCAAAAAUACUUUAUCCCAGAUAUGAUAAAACUUUUGCCUGUAAGGAACAAGAAGCCAUAUAGCUCUAUAAAAAUAGUUACCAAAGUCAUUUUGGGCAGAGGCGGUAAACACACUGAUGUACUUGGAAAAGAGGUAACCAACAAGGGUCGUGGAUGGAAUGACACUAGUUUAAGCUUGGAAUGCCAUAAAACCAUCAAUAAGACAUCUAAGGUGUUUGGUUCAUUGUGUUUUACUCAUGUACCAACUAUCAAAGGGAGUAAGCUUGAUUAUAAACUAGAAAAAGGAUUUUUGGUUGGGUAUAGCUCUAUGUCUAAGGGCUAUAUCAUUUACAAUAUUGAAUAGAAAGUUUUUAUAUGUAGAGAUGUGAAGGUGGAUGAAGAGUCCUAUUGUGAUUUGAAUAUCUCUCAAGUUUGAAGGAUGGAUAUUGAAUCCUCUUUAGAAGAUUCGAAUAAAGACUUGGAAGCAAAUAAUGAUGAAGAUUUUUAUGUUAGAGGUACUAGAUAUUUAACAAACAAUUAUGGAAGAUGUAAUCUUGUUAUUGUGGAACCUUCAAACUUUCAAGAUGCCAGUGGGAAUUGAAGAAUAGAAGGAAGCAUUGAAGGAGGAAAUAGCCAUGAUUGACAAGAAGGAGCUGUGGAAACUCAUUGAUAAACCUGAAACUAAGCAAGUUAUUGGAGUUAAAUAGGUUUGUGUAGUGAAGUUCCAUGCGGAUGGAUCAAUCAACAAGAGCAAACAGAAUUUGGUUGUUAAAGUUUAUUCUCAGAAUUUUGAUUGCAUUGGCAGCACAGAUGAAGUGGAAAAUCCUUCAUUUAGAUGUUAAAUCUGCCUUCCGGAAUGGUUUUCUAGAAAAGGAGAUUUAUUGAGCUCAACCCGAAGGUUUUGUAGUUUAAGGAAGUGAAGAUAAGGUGUAUAAGCUUCAACCUGUGUCAUUCCAUCCACGACCCUUGUUUGUAGUCUAUUUUGCAAGUAAAUCGAUGUGUUUAUCGCCACGACCCAAAAAGACUUUGGCAGCAAUUCCAUAACAGAGCUCAGUUGCUUCUCGUUCCUUGCAGGCAUAAGUUUUAGCAUAUCUGGGGUGAACUAGUCUUGGUGCACUGACAUAAGCAACACCUGUACUUAUAUCUUGCUCCAUACCUACCAUUUAUUCUUCACCUGUGUCAAUAUCUUCUCUUAUUUCUUCAUAACUUAGAACAUCAUCAUAUAAAUCUGCAAAACCAUGAUUUUUGUGAUGACGUUCUAAAUUCUACAGAAAUAAGAGUAAAAAUUGACACGCAUGAAGAAUCAAUGGUAGCUAUUGAGUCAAUUAUAAGUACAAAGUGUUGCUUUUGUCAGUGCACCAAGAAUAGUUUAUUCCAGAUAAACUAAAACUUCUGCAUGUAAGGAACAAAAGCAACCGAGCUCUCUAAAGAAAAGUUUCCAAAGUCUUUUUUGGGCAGAGGCGAUAAACACAUAGAUUAAUUAGCAAAAUAGACUUCCAACAAGGGCCGUGGAUUGAAUGACAUCAAUUAAAGCUCGGAAUUUCAUAAAACCAUCAAUAAGACAUCUUAAUGUGUUUGGUUCAUUGUGUUAUACUCAUGUACCAGCUUUCAAUCAGAGAAAGUUUUAUGCCAAAAUUGAAAAAGGAAUUUUGGUUUGUUAUAGCUCUAUCUCUAUGGGCUAUAGAAUUUAUAAUAUUGAAUCUGAGAAUGCUUUCAUAAGUAGAGAUGUGAAGGUGGAUGGAGAUUCUUAUUGGGAUAGGAAUAUCUCUCAUGUCAGAAUGAUGGAUGUUGAACCGUGUUUAAAAGAUUCAAAUGAAGUCUUGGAAGUAGAAUGAUGAUGAUUUUUCUGUUAGAGGUACUAGACCUUGGCAGAAAUUUAUGGAAUAUGUAAUCUUGUUAUCCUGGAACGUUCAAACUUUUAAGAUUCUAGUUGGAAUGAAGAAUUCAAGCGAGCGAAAUAACCAUGAUUGAGAAGAACGAGACAUGGAAACUCGUUGACAAACCUGAAACUAAGCAAGUUAUUGGAGUUAUAUGGAUGUACCAAGUAAAGUUGAAUGCGGAUAGAUAUAUCAACAAGAUCAAAGCAAGGCUGGUCGUUAAAUAUUAUUCUCAACAACCUGGAGUUUAUUAUUUAGAUACUUUUUCACCUGUUCCAGAUAUACUUGGAAAAAAGACUACCAAUAAGGGCCGUGGAUGGAAUGACACCAGUUUAAGCUUAUACACCUUACCUUCACUUCCUUGAACUACAAAACCUUCGGGUUGAGCUACAUAAAUCUCCUCAUUUAGAAAACAAUUCAAGAAGGCAGAUUUGAUAUAUAAAUACCAGAUGUUCCUGCCAGAUGUAGCUCAGCACAAAGGUUUUGUAGUUCAAGGAAGUGAAGGUAAGGUGUAUAAGCCUCAAAAAGCUCUAUAUGGUUUGAAGCAGGCUCCAAGGGCUCGGUACAGCAGAAUCGAUGCUCAAUUGGCAACCAAUGUCCCAAAAAAAAAUGACAAUGAUGCUACACUUUAUGUGUAGACAUUUCUUAAUGAUGGAGCCAAAUAGUGUGAUACUUCAUUUUUUAGAAGUUUGAUUUGAAGUUGUCUUGGCAGCUCAAGGUCUGAUUUAAUGUAUGCUGUUAGUUUUCUUUCAAGAUUAAUGCAAAGUCUCAGCAACAUUCAUUUUACUGCUGUGAAAAGAGUGCUUAGAUACUUAGAAGGAACACUGUAAAUUGGAAUAUGGUUCAGACUGUUGGAAGAAGGUGCUUUGCUAGGCAUUGUUGAUAGUUAUUGGGGUGGAAAUAUUGAUGAUAUGAAGAGCACUACUGGCUAUGCUUUUUCCUUGGGUCUGGUAUGUUUUCAUGGAAUUCAAAGAAGAUAGAAAUAGUGGCGCAAUCUACCGCAGAGGAAGAGUAUUUAGCAGCCUCUACAGAUGCAAAUCAAGUUAUUUGGUUAAGGAAAAUUCUGAAGGAUCUUAGUUGCAAAUAAGAUCAAGUGUAAUAACAAAUCAGCAAUUCUAAUUGCAGAAAAUCCAGUGCGGCAUGGUAAAAUAAAGCAUAUCUUUGUCAAGUUUCAUGCCAUUAGAGAAGCCGAGAAGAAAAAGGAAAUCAAGCUUGUUCAUUGUUGUUCCCUAUUGUUUAAGUUAAUAAGCAAUUGACAACUCUAAAAUUGACUAGGUGACCUUCCUGGAAUUGUUUACUCCAAAGCACCAACAUUAUAUACCUGAUCGAAGUUGUUGAACAGAGGAACAUAGAAAAGAUAUCUUGAUUUUAGUGCAAAAAUGGGUAAUGGACAACUACCCUUGUUUCUUCUAUAUGCCUUUCUCUGUCAACUACUUGGUUUCUCUUCAUCCUUAUUUAAUUUGUGCCCCAAAGAUCAAGCUCUUGUUCUUCUGUAGUUUAAGAAAAUGUUUACCAUAACUCCUUAUGUUUCUUAUUGUUCCUACAAAACAACAAAUCAAAAUAUUGAGUCAUGUCCAAAAAUGGUUACAUGGAAUACAAGCACUAAUUGUUUCUCAUGGGCUGGAGUUUAUUGUGACGAGACAACGGGACAAGUGAUUGAGCUUGACCUUAGUUGCAGCCAACUUCAAGGUAAGUUUCAUCCCAACUGUAGCCUCUUUCAACUCUCCUCUCUAAAAAGGCUUGAUUUGUCUCGUAAUGAUUUCUCUCGGUCGCACAUUUCACCUAAAGUUGGUGAGUUUUCUAGCUUAACACAUCUUGAUCUAUUAGAUUCGAAUAUGUCAGGUCUGAUCCCUUCUGAAAUCUCUCACAUUUCAAAAUAGUAAGUUCUACGAAUCUCAAGAAAUAAUCCACAUGACUCGCAAUUUUAAACUUCUAGUUAAAAACUUAAUCCAAUUAAGAGAACUUGACCUUUUCUUAGUGGACAUCUCUUUCACCAUUCCUCUAAAUUUCUCUUCAUCUUUAAUAUAUCUAGAACUCUAAGAGACACAACUAUUUGGAAAUAAUAUAUCUAGAACUUUAAGAGACACAACUAUUUGGAAAUAAUAUAUCUAGAACUUUAAGAGACACAACUAUUUGGAAAUAAUAUAUCUAGAACUUUAAGAGACACAACUAUUUGGAAUAUUUCUGGCAAGAGUUUUCCACCUUUCAAACUUGAAAUAUCUUUAUUUAUCAUCCAAUCCACAGCUCACAGUACAGUUUCCCACAACCAAAUGGAAUAGCAGUAAAUCCCUCAUGGAGUUAUAUCUCACUGGUGUGAAUUUUAUUUGAUAAGAUACCUCAAUCAUUUAGCUAUUUAACUUUAUUACUUCAAUUGGACAUGAGAUCUUGUAAUCUCUCAGGGUCCAUUCCUCGACCGCUAUGGAAUCUCACCAACGUAGAGUAUCUGGUCCUUGAUAAUAACUACUUAGAAGGACCAAUUUCCUUGUUCACACUUGAGAAGCUCAUAGUUUUAUCACUUCAAAAUAAAUAUAUUGCGUGCAUGUCCUUUAACGGUAGAUAGAGUCCACAACUUGAAAGCUUAGAUAUUUCUUCCAAUUCCCUAGCUGGUCCAAUUCCUUCAAAUAUAAGUGUCACUCCCCGAGGCUACCCCCUAGACGUAACACAUGACCUAGGAUCACGAGAGACCCCAAGCUAACCCUGAGUUUGGUAUAUCACAAGCAUAUGGAAUAUAUAUAACUAAGUAAGCGGAAGCAUAACUGUAAAAUGAGUCAAAACUAAAGGACUCCAAAUGAGCGUAAAUCUGAAUAUCUGUGGAAAACAACCCCAAAACGUUGAACACUGACUCUAUGUCUGAAAGCCUCUAAUACUGAUGAGCUGCUAGGACUAGUCCCCAACUAACUCUAAAACUAUCGAAAGAUUCAAAAUAAGCUAACUACACCAAACAUGAAGAAAAAUCCUCGAACUAUGAUGACUCACCACUGAAGUUGCUGAGUAUGAGUUGCAAGUCGAACUAAGCAUAAUCUGGAUGUUGAGUGCCACAACAUACAUCAUAAAAUGAUGUAGCGUAAAGUAUGUAAAUUCUUGACUGCAACAACUUCUAAGUUUCGUUUGUUUCAUUCUUCUUCAAAUGGGUAGGAAGAGAUCGUUAGUGGGUGGGUGAGAGCCUCUUGCACAUGAAAAUGGAGCCCCGCAAGUGGUAGAGGUCGAGGUGGACCUAGAGGUCAACGAAGAACAAAAGUUACUGUACAAGAUUGAGAGCACAAGUGGACAUUGUCAGCAGAGCCUAUUAUAAAGGUCGAGCAGGUUCACCGUGAAUCAGAUGGCGUGGGGCUAUCCCAGCCUGCACCAAGAUUUAUUUCCAAGCAAAUUUUACAUGACACUCUAACAAUGAUCUUCAACUUUAUUGAUGCUACGUCUGAGGUGGGGUCUUAGACUGGUACAUCGACUAGUCCCCAUAUUAGAGAUGAGGCUCAGACUUCAACGCAGGAAGUGGUACUAGGUGCAUAAGGCAGCUAGGACUGUCAUUUCUUCUAAGGAGCAAAAGAUGUUAGGACGAUCAUCAGAUUGGGUCCUCCAAGGUUCUCACGUUCUAUAGGUGAGGAUCCCACAAGUUUCUAGUGAAUUUCUAACCUUGGUCUAGUUGUGUCACACAUGGCUAAUAACACUGCUUUCCCUAUGGAUGGGCCAGCGAACAGUGGUAGAGGUCAAAUCUGGAGUGUAGACCAGCUGGAUCACCACUCACCUCCUAUGUUAUAGCUCAUUUCUCUGAGGCUUUCUUGGAGAAAUAUGUACCUCGUAGCUUCAAAGAGAGGUUGUCGGAUGACUUCACAGAUCUGUUGUAGGAAGUAUGUCAAUUUCAGAGUAUGAUACACGGCUUCAUGAGCUAGCCAAUCAUACAACUACACUUAUGGGAAUAGAGCAUAUGUGAGUGCGUAGGUUGGUCAAAAGUUUGGCAUUUCCCCUUUGGCUUGCUACAGAGUAGAUGGUAGUGUUGGGAUAUUAAUUUAAUAGAUAGUCUAUCAUGUGCACAACAUCGAGGGGAUACGUCAUGAGGCCUAUGGAGGUAACAACAAGAGGCCCCAUCGUGAUGGUGGUUUAACCAGGUCUCAGUUAUGUGGUAAAGGUUUCCCAAGUAGAGGUCACCCAUAAUAGUUUCAGCCUAGUAGGCCAAUUCUGGCUUCUUCACAAAUUAAAGAUGAUGGUUCCAUGGUGUCAUUGGUCAGGGCAGCCAUGCUUUGGCCAUACUUCUUGGGGUUCACAUUAGGAAUACAUGGGUUGUAAUGGUUAGUCGUGUCCAAUCAUAUCGUCUUAACAUAUUUUUUCUAGUAGGGGAUGUUAUAAGUGUGGUGUGUUGGGCUACUAUGUUAGAUAUUGUCCUAUGAUUCAUCACCGCAUAAGACAUGGUUAGUAGUUUCAAGCCCAUAGGGCUCUUAUAUCGUUAACUAAAUGUGGCUCAUAAGGUAGAAGGGGUGGUCCCUAGGGUGAUCGAGGUGUUUCUCAAUCACUCAAGUUAGGUUGUGGAAGUGGACGCGACAACAUAAAUGCAUUUUACGUAAGCCAGAGGUGGAGGUUUCAUAUGUUGUCAUCAUAGGUAGGAUCUUCGUCUCUCAUCAGCCUUCUUAUGCUUUGUUUGAUUUGAGAUAUUCUUAUUCAUUUGUAUCUUCCUAUUAUGAUACACAUUAUAAUUUAUCUUGUAAGACUUUGCAUGUACCUGUGCGUGUGGCUAUCUCCCUAAGUGAUUUUUUAGUUGUGCAUCGAGCGUAUAGAUCAAGUGUGGUGUCCAUAUUAGGGUAUGACACUUUGUAGACUUGAUUGUGUUGGAUAUGAUAGAUUUUGAUGUGAUAUUACGCAUGGAUUGUCUGUCUCUUUAUUAUGCGGUCUUGGAUUGUUUUUCCAAUACUAUCACUUUGAGCAUGCAUGGUAUCCCUCCGAUUGUGCGGAUGGAUGUCAAUAGCCAUAUGUCAAGGGGUGUGAUAUUAUUUAUUAUAGUGUGGGGGUUGGUAGGAAGGGUUGUAUAGCUUAUCUUGCUUAUGUUUGGGAUACCACUAGCGAAAUUCCUUCUAACAAGGCAGUUCUUAUUUUUAGAAAGUUCUUUGAUGUGUUUCUUUCUGUUCUACCUGGUCUUUCUCCUGAUAGCGACAUUAUAUUGACUUCAACAUUGAUGUUGAACAGGGCAUGCGACUAGUAACUAUAUUCCCUAUCAGAUGGAUCCAACUGAGUUGAGUAACCUUAAGGAGCAGCUGUAGGACCAUGUGAGUAAGGGGUUCCUUAGGCCUAGUGUUUCUCAUUGAGGUACUCAUGUUCUGUUUGUGAAGAAUAAGGAUUGUUUAUUGCAUAUGUGUAUUGACUAUAGGUAGUUGAACAAGGUGACCAUCAAGAAUAGAUAUUUAAUAGUGUGUAUUGAUAAUUGUUUGACCAGCUAGAGGGUGUAGCGAUGUUCUCUAAGAUAGAUUUGAGAUCAAGCUACCUCUUGUUGAGGAUUAUGGUGGUGGACUUCCGAAGACUAGUAUUUGGACUCGCUACGACUACUACAAGUUCCUAGUCAUGUCUUUCUAGUUGACCAAUACCCCAACAACAUUCAAAGAAUUUAUAAACCGUGUGGUUCAGCCAAAUUUAGAGUCAUUUGUGAUAGUUUUCAUAGAUGACAUUCUAAUCUACUCCUGGAGUAGGGAGCAUAUGAGCAACAUCUGAGAAUUGUGAACCAUACAUUGCGAGAUGAGCAGUUGUAUGCCAAAUUCACAAAGUGUGAGUUUUGCCUUGAGUGUGUGGAAUUCUUAGAAACCAUUUGUUUAAGAACAUGAUUACAGUAUAUAGACAAAGAUUAAGGCAGUACGUGAUUGGUCCUAGCCUACUUUUCCUACUGAUGUUUAGAGUUAUGUUGGGUUAGCAUGCUACUACACACUGUUUGUGAAUGUAUUUUCUUCUAUAGUAGUACCUUUGACUAGAUUCACUCAUAAGAAUGUCCCUUUUCAGUGGUCUGGCGAGUGUCAUGAAGUGAGCUUUCUAAAGCUCACGACCUUGUUGACUUCACCUUUGAUUUUGACACUUCAUGUUGAACUUUAUGGAUUUAUAGUCUACUAUGAUGCUUAUGGUGUUGGCAUAGGUUGUGUGUUGAUGAAGUAGGUAAGAGUUAUUACAUAUUUUUCUAUGAAGUUGAAUAUUCAUGAAAGGAAGUACCCAACUUCUGACUUGGAGUUAGCGGCGAUAGUCUUCACGUUGAAGAUUUAGAGGCACUACUUGUAUGCAGUUCUCUGUGAGGUAUUCACCAACCAGCAUACUCUUUAGUACAUUUUUAGUUGGAAGGACCUUAUUGUGAGACAUCCUAGGUUGUUAGAGUUCCUGAAUGACUAUGAUGUGACAAUGCUCUAUCACCUGAGCAAGACAAAAAUCAUAGCAGAUCCAUUGUGUCAAUUUUCUACUGAAUGCCUCUCAAAGUGAGAGAUUCUUUCCAUUAUAUAGAGAAAAUAAAGAUUACACAUCCCUAAACGCAUGUGGAAGAGUAAUGACUCCUUUAUCUAUAGCUUCUCGUAUAUAAUGACAAUCCACUUCGAUGUGUUUGGUCCUCUCAUGAAAAACUGGAUUAGUAGCAAUCUGAAUAGCACUUGUAUUGUCAACGUGGAGAGGAGUAGCAUGGGAUUGAGGAAAUCCAAUCUUAGCAAGUACUCCACGAAGCCAUACAACCUCGAAGCAAAUAGUAGACAUGGAUCGAUAUUCAGCCUCUGUUGAAGAUUUUGACACACGAUCUUGCUUUUUACUCUUCCAAGAUAUCAAUGACUCUCCAAGAAACAUGUACCAACCAGAGAUUGAACGACGACUAUCAGGACAUCCCGCCCAAUCAAAAUCACUGAAAGCAUUAAGAUGAAUAGGAGAACCACUUGGAAAGAACAAUACACGAAUAGAUGUUCCUACAAAGUACCGAAUGAUGCGACGAACAGCCACCAAGUGGAGAUGACGAGUAGCUUGCAUAAAUUGACUAACUUGUUGAACUGCAAAAGAGAUAUCAAGCCGAGUAAUAGUAAGGUAAUUUAGACUCCCAACUAAUUGUCAAAAUAUAGUUGGAUCAGGAAGAAAAUCGCCUUCCUCACGACGAUACUUGACAUUCAAUUCUAGUGGAGUAUCUACGGAGGAGAAAACUUGAAGACCAGCCAAAGAAAUCAGAUCCUGAAUAUAUUUGUGUUGGUUUAGGAACACACCUGAAGCAACAUUAUGAACUUCCAAACCCAAAAAAUAAGUAAGAGUACCAAGAUCUUUCAUAUGAAAAGAAUUUUUAAGCUGCUGUUGGAGGCUAGUGAUUAGUGAAGAAUCAGUUCCUGUGAUAAUAAAGUCAUCUACAUACACCAAAAGAAAACCACAACCUGCAGAUGUUUUCCGAAGAAACAAAAAUGAGUCAUAUUUGCUCUGCUCAAAAGAAAAUUGUAGCAAAGUAGAGCAGAAGUUAUCAAACCAAGUUCUUGGAGCUUGUUUUAAUCCAUACAAAGACCGCUUCAACUUGCAUACAUAUGAUGUAGGCGAUGAAAGCAAACCACGUGGAGGUUUCAUACAAAUAUCUUCUUUAAGAUCAUCAUGGAGAAAAGCAUUUUUGACAUCCAUUUGAUAAAGAGACCAGUUUUGUGAAGUAACAAUGGCAAUAAUAGUUCGCACCAUAGUCAUGUUGGCUAUGGGUGCAAAAGUCUCCUCAUAGUCCACCCCAUCCUUUUGUCUGUUACCAAGAACAAUCAAUCGAGAUUUGUACCGAUCAAGAGUUCCAUCAGAAUGAAGUUUUAUUGAUUAAACCCAUUUACAUCCAAUAGGGCGGAUAUUUGAAGGACAUGAAACAAUGUCCCAUGUGUCAUUUUCUUUAAGAGCCAAAAGUUCUUCCUCUAUUGCUUCCUGCCAACAUUCAUGCUUGGAAGCUUGUGAGUAACAAGAUGGAAUAGAUAUGUUAGAUAAGGUAGAGGAAAACCCAUACCAAUUGGGAGUACGAGAUACUCUAGUAGAUCGCCAAGUAGGCUCAACAGGACCAGAUCUUGAAUAAUUCUCAUAUUCUAGUUGUGGUAUAGUUUCAAGCGGCGGAUCAGUGUCGGGAUAGGAUAAAGUUGGCCGACGUCGUUCAUACACAAAUUUAGGUUUGAACCUCUUAAAAUAAGAUGAUAAAUCCUCAAAAGUAGGAAGAAGAGGAGAAGUAGAAAAUGAAUCUACAAUCAUAGGAAAGAAAUACUGAUUCUCAAAGAAAAUAACAUUUCUAGAAAUACGAAAUUUGUGAGAACGUUGAUCAUAGCAAAACUUGAUCAUAGCAAAUAAAACCUUUUUGUGUAGUACUAUAACCCAUAAAGGCACAUUUAGUAGACUGUACCGAAUGUUUAUUGCACUGCGAAGGAGGCAAAUGCACAAAACAAACACAACAAUAUAUGAAAAUCACUAUAGUUAGGAUUUUUGGUGAUAAAGACGAAAAUAUGGAGACUCAAGAUUUAGCACUUUAGAUGGCAAUCUAUUAAUUAAAUAGACAGCAGUAGACAAAGCUUCCACCCAAUAUUUAGAUGGUACAAAGGACUCAAUCAAUAAAGUACGAGUGACAUCUAAAAGAUGGCAAUUUUUUCGUUCAGCAACUCCAUUUUGUUGUGGUGUAUGGGUGAUGUUUAUCAUGACCAACGACACUACUUCCGAUUCAAGUGUCUACGAUCGUCGAUAAUAUAGUAACCCAACCGAGGGUUGGGGUCGUGUCCCAAGGGAGUGGUUUUGAGAAUUUAUAGAAAAAAGAAUUUAGUUCUAACUAGUCGUAGCUAAAGAUAUUAACAAUUAAAAAUAUUGUAAAUUAAAGGGGGACACAAGAGUGUCAAUUAACAAAUGGAGGUUUUGCCACAAGUAAGCUGAAAUUAGCAGAAUCAACAAAGAAAUCUAUGAAUGAGAGGGGAUUCUUGGGAUGUAACCGGAAUAUGGGUUAAUCUAAAUUAUUGGGUACAUGCUUUCGAUAGAAAAUUUAUAGAGUAAUAGGUACUAGGCUAAGCUUUAUGUGGGAAUAAGUUCUCUCUCGAGCAACUUACUACGUUUUAAAUGGGUUCCUCUCGGAUACCCACUUGCCGCAUCAAGACCAACCUACACCUUACCCCACUCACUCUCUCGAGCUGAGUGUUAGGAUAUGGGACUAGGGCUCACCCUCUCGGGCUGAACCUCAUGUCAACCCACUCCUUAGGCCAUCAGUCUAGCAGUCUUGGUUUCACGACCUCUCUCUCGAGCAAGCCGAAAACACAUGGGUGGACUUGUAUUUGCAACUACAAACCCAUUAAAUUUGACCACAACUACUAGGUGAAAUCACCAUUAAACUACAUUUAAUCUAUCAACAAGCAUGACCCAACAACAAUAUUAACCCAUAUUCGUUAAAUCACACCCCAAGAAUGGGGUUUUUAGUCACACAUCAAGAGAUAGAAAUUUAUACCUAAAUGAGCUUAUAUUCAAAUGGGUAUGAAAAUUUAAGUCUUAUUCCAAGCUAAGAAUGAAGAAAUCAAGUGACCCAAGUCCAAAUCCUUGGAGAUGAAACCCUCUUCUUUUUCAAGUCUUCAAAACCCUCUCAAACUCAAAGAAAAUAAAAAGUACUAUUCUAUAUGAAAAUUAUAAUAAUUGUUUUUUUUCACACUAAAAAUCUGAUACUAAGCUAUAACUCUCAACGAGUAUUUAUAGUUUUUAAAAAUAUAUGUGUUGCAGCGGAUCAUUCGGCGACAUUAGUCGGAAUCACCGAUCAACUCGGCGAUUCACCCUUUGGUGUAGUUCAUCAUCAUCUCGUACCAACCUUCUACAUCGUCGUGAUCUGGGCCAUUGGGCGGUAUGGUACUGCUUCACAAAACUGCUCAGCAAUGCGCUGGCUGCUCCUUUUUUCCGCCGACUUGAUCCUUUUCUUCAGGGCUCAGCACACUGGAACAAAAGGCAAAGUAAGACCCUUUGGCGACUCGCCAAGUGGACUCGCCAAUCCUCAGGGCUUCAUUUCGUUCAUUUUAUCCCUUUUCGUUCCUUUUUUGCGACGUAGUGUCCAAGCUCUCUUUAACUUCAAAUACCUGAAACUUAAGGGUUUUCAUCAGAUAUUGAGAUAAAAUAAGCAUUUGAGGAUACAAUUUCUAUUAAAAUAUCACCCUAGAUGAGUCCAAUUUGUGGAAUCAUCAACACCCCACUUAAACUUUUGUUUGUCCUCAAGCAAACUCAAGUUCAGCCGUUCAAAAACGGUGUCUCAAAUAGUGCUACACAAGACUGAAUCAUGAAUUCACACAACAAGACUCAAUUUACUUAUGCAAGGAUCAAUUGUGUACUCAAAGAUUCAAGUUGUGACACACCAUUACCAAAGAUUCUCAUUCUCACAAUACUUGCUUCAAAUGCAAGUUCAAGCUCAACUAUAGUGUUCAAAUGCCCUGACAUAAAGAUGAUUCCAUAUUCACACAAUGGUUUCACAGUUUAAAGCUUUGGAAUUAGAUGCAACGCUCACACUCACAAAGAAGAACAUAAUGCAUGCUUUCACCCAUAGGUUUGCCCAUAUUUUCCAAUCAACAUUUGUUUCAGCUCAAUCAAGAUCAAAAAAGGUCUUUUCAAGGCUUGUAAUGGGGCAGAGUGCAAAUGUAUGGUUAUUUUGGCUCAGUGACUUUUCAUCCUCAUGAAAUGUGGUGCUUUCAACACAUCUUUUUCUCUUCCUUCAUCAAUUUUUUUUCUAGUGCUCGUAAGUCAUCUAAUUAUUAACUCUUUAUGGAUUGCUUGGAAACCCAAUUUCUUUUGUACUUUAUUCCACUACUUUCUUUUUCAUUUCUUUUCUUUUCUCUUUCUUGUUUUUAUGGGGGGUUUCCAUUUUUCGCAACACCAUGGGUUAAGGGGGACUUUUCUUGCACUUUCUGAUUCUCCCUUUCCCUUUUCAUCACACCCCAACUUAGGCUAAGUUGGCUAUUCUCUAAACCACAAAUAAAGAGGAUUAUAGGUAGUGGAUUAAGAAAGGUCUUGGUUUCAUCAGGUUUCUUCCAAAGAAAGGUAAGGUUCUAGGGGUGUUCAAGAGAGGUUCACACACUCACGGGUAGGCCACAAAAGAGGUAUAUGUCAAAUUGGCUCACACUCUUUAAAGUUGCCUAAGAUCAUCUCAAGAGCAAGCCUUUCUUAAUCAACCAGACUAACGGAGAAAAUUCUAGGUGUAUUCAUGCAUGGUUCAAAGUAAGCUCAUCACACAAGGCAUUGACACUAAAGUCAAAUAAGAAUCCACACUUUAGCUAGUGUGCAACGGUCAUCACAAGAGAAUCAAUUUGAUAAAUGGCUAAUCACAACGAGAUGCAAAGAGUUCACAUAUUGUCUAUGCAACUUCAUUUGGUCUCUUUGUAGCUGUACAUUCAUGUUUGUUCGAUUGAGAGCACUAUUCAAGUCAUUGGUAUUGAUCAAAACUGAGACUCAAAUAUUCAAGAGAACAGCCACUUUAAAUCACAAGAGGUGGCAAAAAAAUUUGAAAAAUAAUUUUUUUUUGGAAGGGUCAAAAUCACUUUGCAAUUUAAAAUAAAAGGAGCUACAAGCUCAAACAUCCACAUUGAAGCAGUAUUAACACAAUUUUAAACAGAACAACCCAAAUAUAAACAUAAAACACGAAGCAAAAGUAGCACACAAAAGGUGUGGGCCUUACCUCACCACAAAUAAAAGCAUUUGUCCUCAAAUGCAAAUAAAAGUAUCCAUAAGUAAAAACAAAGAAAAAUAGCGAGGAAGGUAAAGAGGGAUCCUGUCUACGCAGUCGCUCCAUCUGUCAGGGCCUCAAUGCCCAGUAUAGUGCUCUGAAUAUGGGCAUCAGUGCCCAAAUUAACUUCAGAUGGGCCAGCACAUGACAAUACGAUAUGAUCAUUGCAAAUGAGUACUAAAUUUUUGAAGUAAAUUCGGGGUUCGGAAAACCAACCUUUGUGCCGAUUAAAGUACUUUGAAAUGCUAGGAGGCAAUGAAAUCCAACUUCGAGCACAAAUCAACAACAAAAAUACUUAUGGAAUGCAAAAAUAUUUAAAAUACUAACUAGGUGCGAGAUUUGGAAGAUUAAAAGCGAGGGAAAGUAAAAGAGUUGGAAGUUUAAACCUUUGGCCUAUUAAGAAAUCAUCUAGUUCUCGCCCAUUCGGUGACAUUAGUCGUGGUCGCCGAUCCAUUAUGUGACUCGCCUAGUGGAUACUUACCUCACUGAGUUUUACUGGACCUCCAGUUAAACUAGGGAUCCAAACGGCAAACUAGAACGCAAUCGCCGACCAGGUCGGCGAUUCGCCAAUAAUUUCUUAGGCACACCGAGUUUUACAGACUCCACUUUGAAGUUUUCUUUAGUCUAACGGCGGUCUAAGUCGGGGUUGCCGACUUCUUUGGCGAUGCGCCGACCGGACUUUUAGUUCGCCAAUCUCUACCUUCUAACACAUUCCACACUUUGACCUACAGAAUCAACACACCAUUAUUUCUAAAAUAAACAUAAAGCGAGAAAACCUUGGGUUGCUUCCCAAGAAGCUCCUUAGUUAACAUUGUGGCACGAUGUAGGUCUUGCCUCACUCUCUGUUAUUGGAGCUAGGCCUAGUGUCACUAGGUAACCCCAAUAUAUCGUUUGGAUGGAGCUGAGGCAUUGCAAACAUCAGGAAUGAUCUGAUGUGCUGGAUUGAUCUAGAAUGAGAUCUAAUCAAUUGAUUCAAUACUUCAAAAUUCUCUCUCAUUUCGUUCAACACUCGAUCUUUAUCGGUGGACUUUUGUAGAAUGAUUUGAAGUGUGUCCUCAACAUGAAUUUUCUCAUCUUCUCUUGACUUCUUCCGCGCAUGAGGAGGUAUGUACCUCCCUCGGUGUUUGCACUGGUUUUCCACCUCAGAUAUUUUGGUGGUAAAGUCAUUUAGUUGAGAUACCAGUGCAGCUAUCUUGAAGUCACCCUCGACUUCUUGAUCUACCUCAAUUGGCUUGCCACCGACUUCCUCUAUCAUGCUCAGAGGACCUGCAAACACAAACAAUAAACAAAGAAAAAAAAACUAAAAGUAAAAUUAGUAAAAACUACACUAAAAAGAACAAAAACCCUAGGAGAACUACAUCUUCUUGUAACACCACUCCCUGAUAGCGGCACCAUUUUGAUGUUUAUCGUGACCAAUGACACUACUUCCGAUUCAAGUGUCUACGAUCGUCGAUAAUAUAGUAACCCAAUCGAGGGUUGGGGUCGUGUCCCAAGGGAGUGGUUUUGAGAAUUUAUAGAAAAAAAGAAUUUAGUUCUAACUAGUAGUAGCUAAAGAUAUUAACGAUUAAAAAUAUUGUAAUUAAAAGGGACACAGGAGUGUCAAUUAACAAAUGGGGGUUUUGUCACAAGUAAGCUAAAAUUAGCAAAAUCAACAAAGAUAUCUAUGAAUGAGAGGAGAUUUUUGGGAUAUGACCGGAAUACGGGUUAAUCUAAAUUAUUGGGUACAUGCUUUUGAUAGAAAAUUUAUAGAGUAAUAGUGACUAGGCUAAGCUUUAUGUGGGAAUAAGUUCUCUCUCGAGCAACUUACCCCAUUUCAAAUGGGUUCCUCUCGGACACCCACUUGCUGCAUGAAGACCAGCCUACGCCUUACCCCACUCACUCUCUCAAGUUGAGUGUUAGGAUAUGGGACUAGGGCUCACCCUCUCGGGCUGAACCUCAUGUCGACCCACUCCUUAGGCCAUCAUUCUAACAGUCUUGGUUUCACGACCUCUCUCUCGAGCAAUCCGAAAACACAUGGGUGGACUUGUAUUUGCAACUACAAACCCAUUGAAUUUGACCACAACUACUAGGUGAAAUCACCAUUAAAAUACAUUUAAUCUAUCAACAAGCAAGACCCAACAACAAUAUUAACCCAUAUUCGCUAAAUCACACGCCAAGAAUGGGGUUUUUAGUCACACAUCAAGAGAUAGAAAUUUAUACCUAAAUGAUCUUGCAUUCAAAUGGGUAUGAAGAUAUAAGUCUUGUUACAGGCCAAGAAUGAAGAAAUCAAGAGACCCAAGUCCAAAUCCUUGAAGAUGAAACCCUAUUCUUCUUCAAGUCUUCAAAACCCUCUCAAACUCAAAGAAAAAUAAAAAGUACUAUUCUAUAUGAAAAUUAUAAUAAUUGUUUUUUUUCACACUAAAAAUCUGAUACUAAGCUAUAAAUCUCAACGAGUAUUUAUAGUUUUCAACACCUUGAACCAAAUCAGCCAUUCCAUCACAAUAUUUAUUAUUUUGAUUCUACAACAAAUGUAUAUGAUCAUUCUAAUUUAUAUCACUAUAUAAUUACAUUAAUAUAUACAAUCAUUUAGUUGUCCAUCAUGCUAACACCUUGAACUAGAAGGCGGUGUGUAUGGGGAGUUUGGCUUUCUUAGCCGUGGAGGAGAGACCUUUUGCUUCGAAUGUCCUAUCCCUAUCCAUUCUGAUGAUUCGUCUUGAUAUUUCUGAGUUUGGCAUAAUGAUCGCACAUGUAGAUGUUUGGUCUUCUUUAAUGGAGCAGAUUCAAGAACAAUAGUUUAAGGACCUGAGGUUGAGGGUGAUUCGAGAUAGGGUUCUUAUUUGUGAGGCUAAGAAGUCAGCCUUUGAUCCAGGGGGUGUUUUAAGGAUCGGGGAGUCAUAUCUAUAUUCCUAGAGUUAUAGAUUUGGUUUGGUUUAUUCUGUAGGAGUCCAAUUGUUCUAGGUACUCUUUUCAUCCCGGUACGAUGAAGAUGUAUUAUGAUUUGACGCAGCACUACCGGUGGUGUGGGAUUAAGAGGGACAUUGCGACAUUUGCGACUAGAUGCUUGAACUGUCAGCUGGUGAAAUGACCUAUAGAGGAAAGGUGGUUUGACCCAACAGCUACCCAUUCGGGAGUGGAAGUGGGAGCCGAUAGCUAUGGACUUUAUGGUAGUCUUUACGCGUAGUUUUUUGGAGAUUUGAUGCUAUUUGGUUCAUCGUAGAUCAAAUGACCAAGUCUGCUCACUUUUUGCCGAUUCAGGCUACCUAUAGUUUAUGGAGAUUAGCUCAAAUUUACAUUUGAGAGAUUUUUCGUUUGCAUGGGUGUCGGUAUCUAUCAUUUCAUAUCAUGGCACUCAGUUCAAUUCAUGUUUUUGGAGGUCUUUUUAGAGGCAAUUGAGUACUAGAAUUGAGUUUAACACAACUUUCCAUCCAAAGACUAAAGGUCAGUUUAAGAGGACUAUUCAGGUAUUGAAGGACAUGUUUUGGGCCUGUGUUAUUGAUUGGAGAGGUUAGUGGGACCAGCUCUUGGCUUUGGAGGUGUUCAUGUAUAAUAACAACUACCAUUUGAGUAUUCAGAUGGAUCUAUUUUAAGAGUUUUAUGGUAGGAGAUGUCGAUCUUUGGAAGGAUAGUUUGAUGCUUUUUAAGUUAGGCCAUGGAGCACCGACUUGUUGUAUGAAUUUAUGGGUAGUGUUCAUGUGAUCCAGGAGCGACUCUACCCUACCCAAAGUCAGAAGAAGAGGUAUGUUGAUUAGAGAGUUCAUUGGCGACCAAGUAUAUCAACAAGUAUUGUCCAUGAAGGGUGUGAUGAGAUUUGGGAGGAAGGGCAAGCUUAGCCCUAGGUUUAUUGGCCCCCUUAUGAUUGUUAGAUGGAUUGGAGAGAUUUAUUAUAGUUAUCCUUACCCCCAUCUCUUUCAGCUGUUAACCUUGUGUUUUAUAUCUCUAUGUUAAGAUGGUAUGUUCCUGAUGAGUUUCACAUGCUUUAGUGGGAUACUAUUCAGCUUGAUGAGUCAUUGGCAUUUUAAGAGGAUCAUGUAGCUAUUCUAGAUAGGCAAGUUAGGAAGUUUAGGUCUAAGGAGAUCCCGUCGGUGAGGGCUCAGUGAAGGCAUCAUCCGGUCUAGAAGGCUACAUAGGAGGUCGAGCUAGACAUGUGGACCUGAUAUCCUCAUCUUUUCGAGCCUUCAAGUACUUUCCUAUCUUUUCCUUUUGAGGAGGAAAGUCAUUUUAGUAGUGGAUGUUGGAAUGACACUCACGGUAAUUUGCAUGUUUUUGUGUGAAUUUAUCUUUUUGCCCUUUCCCAUAACUUUUGUGUAGUGUUUGUGGUGUGUUGGGAUGGGUUGCACACUUUUCGAGGUAAGAGGAAGAAAGUUGUGUGAGUUUUUCCCUUUUGGUAGUUUUUAAGUUGAAAGAGUUGAGUUUGGUGAACAUUUGGAGAAUUUGAUGUUGUAUGACAUUUUCGUCAUUUCAAUUAGUUCCAAAAGGUCCAUUUUGGGCUAGUAGCAGGGUUGGUUCGGGUCUUGGGGCCUUCAGCGUAAGUUUGAGCCAUUAGGCAAGAUGUUUUUGAAAGUUUGGCUAAUAUUUGACUUCGAUGAACAUUCUUGAUAUAUGUUCUUGAAUGAGAAUUCCAUUGGAAUGGUUAGCUUGAGAAUUUAGAGUUUAGUCUAGAACAAACUUUUGUUUGGAUCCCAAGGUGCUCGAGUUGAUUUUGUGAUAAUUUUGCAUUUUUCUUUUUGGUUACUUUAUGUAAGUGUUGACUUGGGUAAAUAUUUUAAUGAGAUGAACUCCAUUGGUUGUUUCGUCAAUUUUGUUCAGUAUGAAAUGUCAAUUUUGUGGGAUAGCAUAGUUUGUUUGAGCCCCCACCAGUGCAUUUUUUUAACCUUAAGUGCAGUUGAUGUAGUCUUUGCUGGUGCAUCGUGCACUGAACUCCGCUUUCGCGAGCUAGGUCCCGCAUACGCGUAGACCAAAAAUAUUGGCAGUUCUAAAUAUAUUAGCCCCAUUUUCAGCUUAUAUUUUCUGCAACCAUUCUUGAAUCCUCUAGCUAUUAACAAAGACGUUAUGCUUUUAUUAAUGUGGUUCAAUUUUUAUAGUGGUGGAUGAGAUUAUAUAUCUGUACUUGAAAAACACUAUCUUUGUACAUUUUAGAAUCCAUAAUAUCUCUGUCACAAUCUUAAUUUAUAGGACAAAUUGCUUGUAUCAUUUACUUAUCAUGCUUGCGCCAAUUUUUAUACCUUCCUUAAUUGACUUCAUGAGUUUUCACAACAUUCUUGAACGCAUUUACUUAUUUGUCUUUGGAUUGAACUCAAGAAAGUUCUUACUAUCUAAAUUAGUAUUACUUCUUAAGCUCUUGAAAGCUUUAGAGUCAUCACAAUCAAAAUCUCUUUCUUUACGUGCCAUCUAUUUUCACACUUCAUCGCUAAAUUCAUAUCCAGGUGCUCAAUUUUCACUCCUUCAAAUAGCGUGUUCUUAUGACAAAUCACUAUCCAUGUCUUAAAAAUUGUCACCACUUGAAGAAUAUUCAGUCCUUCCCUCUUUAUCCGUACCUCCAGCAAAUUGUUGAUGUUCAUUUGAACUAUUGCGAUUUUGUCCUUGAUUGAAGGUUUUCCUAACAUCCAUUCCGUUAUAAGAGUAAUGUUCAAAGUAAACCUCGAUUCCAAUAUAAGAGUAAUGUUCAAAAUAAUGUCUUAAAUGUUAGUGCUUCAUAACACCAUUGUGGAUUACUUUGAUGUUGGUUUUAAGGCAUCAUGUAUAGAAUUUGUGGAAGAAUUAAAAAAGAAGAAGAAUUGAUUAUUAUCUUUUUUUACAACAAAGCCUCCCAGAAUUGAAGACUUGAACUCUAAACAACUCACAAAAGAGAGGAGUUGUAAAUUGAUGAUAUUUUAUCUAGUUUUCUUAAUAUAGUGGAAAUGGGGAGAAACCACCCCCGAAUGUGCCCUGCAGUAUGCAAUCUAGAUUUACUCAGAGCUCCAAUGUGGGCUACGGACACCGGGUGGAAAACCAAAAAAAAAACAGCGGGGAGAAAAAAGUCAGGAAAGAGAGAAGAUUAAAGCAUGAAAUGAAACCCACAGUGUUCCUCACGUUGUCUGUAGAAACAUAGACAAAGAUCAAACUUAAUCAUGUUUUAAAUACUUAAAGAUUAAAAUCGACUAUGGAGACUAAUUAGAUAAGAUUAAAGUCUCUUAGAAUGUGUGUAAACAUGAGUGAUUGUGUGAGUUAAAGAUGAGACUGAUGAGAUACAGAGGCUAUAUAUUAUACACAUUGGAUACAAUCCAAAAUUAGAUCUCUAUUCUUCAACUCCAUAAAUAGUUUCAUUUCUAUCUCAUUUCGAAUCUCCAACAGAGUUGAAUUUCUGUCAGCAGUAAAUCUAACAUCUCUCUUUUUUCUAGAUUCAUCGUUUUCAAAUUGUUUUGAAAUAAAAUCAACCAAAUCAUUAUAUGUAGUGUAAUCCUUGAGAAGAAUAUCAUCAAUUUUAUAACCAUCGUAUAUAAUUUUAAAAAAUCAAGUUUCAGAAUGUCUAAACCACACAAUGAUAUGUCAUUGUCAAUCUCAGAUAUAGUGAUUUCGACAAAUUGAACAAUACACUAUUUAAAAUGGAAUAUGAAUUAAAUAGAAGAAACAAAAUAAAAUCCGAGUGACGAACUAGGAGAGAAUUUGAUUUUUUUUUAUAUGUUAACUUUAGCUUAGGAUACUCCAUAUCCUCGAAAGUCAUUACAAUCGUGAAUUACUUUUGCGAUUAAAUUAUGUUCCUUUUAUUAACUACCCCAAAUAUGUAUACUCUUAACCCGCGUAUAUCAAUAAUACAUGUAUUUUUCUCCGUCAGAUACAUAUUCGAAACAAAACUCUGACAGAAAUUGUAAUUUGAAAAAUUGUUUUUUCAAUGCGUAAUUAGGAUCAAUAAGACUGUGUUUACAUUGUUUUCAUCUGGGCCCCACAUAAGUACCAUAUCAUUUGUGUAACUUAAAAUCAUAUUAAUACCAAAAAAUUGCUCACAAAUAUUUAGACUUUAUAUUUCUCAUUAAAAGACAUCAAAUAUAAGUAGAGUUGAGUUGAAAAAUCUUACCUCAACCCUAUCCCAAUAUCGAGUUGGGUUGGGCCAACAUCAUUGACCAAGCCCAUUUUUGUGGCACUAAAUCUUUUUGUGACGCGUCUCUAUGAAGCUUCACCUAUAAAAUUUCUUUUCCUCUAACUUGUUACUAUUCAUUGCUAAAGUUCCUCAUUGAUUCCUUUUUCUUCUCCGCCGAUGAACUUUAUGAAGUUAUAACUCAUCUAGCUACUCCAAUGUUCGUCUUUCAUCUAGACGAUUAUGAUCUUAACCCCAUGAUGAUGAAGUAUACUGCUUAGCUCUCUGAGGGAAAAAGUGAGCUGCCCUUCAUGAUAGAUUAGAGGACGACACAGCUUUAUCGUUCGCAUCAAAUCAUGAUCAUUUACCUGGAACCUAGGUAAUGUUAGCUUUCCAUUUCUUAAAUCCAAAUUCGAUGGAUUGAAACCCAUAAAUGGUAUUAAGGCCACCAUCUAGAUCUGGAUCCAUGAAAAGGGAACUCUAAUCAAUUGUUUUCUUAGGUUCUCUUCUCUCUUUACGCUGCUUCACGGUUGAACUCAACCAAGUAUCACUCUUUACAAAUCUGCAUAUCUAGCAAUCAUGUAUCAAUAUCUACUUUUAAGACCUUUUCGAUAUGUAAAAAAAAUCUAAGAUGACAAAGUUCAGUCACUUAAUUUUUUUAACAUUGAGGCAUCUUAAACCAUCUGUGAAUUUCAGAAAAAUGAGAAACUAAUUCGACUGGAUGCAUGCUCCUCUUGCCUUUUUCGUUGCGUGCUCUAUUACUGCUUUCUCAGGUGCAUGAUACUUGACCAACCGAAUCUAAUUUAGACAAAUGAAAAGCAAAUAUAGCUAACACCGUAGAUAAUUAUUAACAUCUAUAAGUCUAUAAACUAGUAGAGAGUGACUGAAAUUUUGAAAUGGACAAAAUCAAACACAAAUUGCUAGUAACCAUAGAUUAAGAAUUUGCUUCAACAUGGUACUAAAUUUCAAACUUUGCCAGAAAAGGGAGGAAGAAAACAAUUAUGUGGUAUCCAAAUUCUGAAUCUAUGGUUAUUCAAGUCAAUUUCAUUCACACUUUUAUCCCUAAUUAGCUGAAAUGGAUGACGAAUGGGCGCACGAGUUUUUCUAUAGAAUGCUGGAAAAUUUAUAUUAAGUCAAUUGCGUUACUAAUCCGACUUGGAAUCAUUUUCUCUAGUGUGCAAACAGUUUCUUGUUUUCACCAAUUGUGCAUGCCUCAGUUCAUCUUUGAUCAACUCCCCUAUGCUCAUCCAGAGUACCAAAUCUAAACUCAUUCACCGAUAUUUUAUUAUUAAUUCCAUUUAUCUUAGUAAUUUCAGCGAUGAGCUUGAUUUGUUUUCUUGUUGAUUUUGCCAAGUACGUCUCAUAUACAUCCAAUCUUGAACAACUUGAUAUCUUGAAUCACAAAAAAUUACCCUUUAAGUGGUUGGAGUUGAGGCGGAAAUUAAAGGGAUUUAGGUUUUGACCGGUAUGAAUCUCACUCUUUUGCGUGACUCUAGUUUUUAUGUUAUACAAAGUUGUUUCGAUUUUGGAAAGAGCUAUGCAUUAGCUAUCCAAGUAUUGAUUAUGUUUUGGAUUCUGUUUAUAUUUCUUCAAAGGCUAGCAAUUUGGUCGUGACUGAUUAUGGGGUCGAGGUUAGCAAUAUGUGAAGAAGAAGGAAGUAAUUGAAGAUCCUCUUAAGUAAGUAUAUAUCUAGGCUUUCUUGUACAAUUGCUUUAAGAUUAUUUUUUUUGGUUUAAAUGUCUGUUCGGCCAUUGCUUCGAGUUGUAAAUUUACUGUAUGAUUGGUGAUUUUAUGGUCCUAACUUUUAUUGGAAGCAUUUAAGAGAUUUCUUGGUGUUAAUUCCUUCAUAUAAGAAUGUCUUUGUGAGUAAUAGCCUUGUAAAAAAUUAUUAACAGUCUCUCUACCUUUGCAAGGCAUUGAGAUGGAGGAUUUCCCUUUUAUUACCCUAAAAGGGAUCCUCUCUAUACUACAUAGAGUGUUGCUUUGAGUUGAAUUUCAGUGUCUAAGAUUCACAUUGCUCAAUGGAGCUUUGGUUUUGAAUGUUUGCGUACUUCUUGAUGAACAUUACCACUACUCGAGGUUUACAACUUGAUUAUCUCGGAUGAAUCCUUGUUCAUGGUGGCAAAUAGAUAUCACGUUAAAGUUCUUAUCUCUGGUUCAAGUAGAUUUUUUUUGCGGUUGAGUGCAUACCAAUCACUAAAGUUCUUAUCUUUGGUUCAAGUGGAUUGUUUGAUAUAGGAUAUUAUCCCAAUAUCAGUAUGUCAUGUUACUAUUGAUCUUAGCGGUUGUGUGAGAUUGACCAUUUUGACGUUGUUCACACUUGCAAGAUAUUUUCCUUCAAUAAAGGAGGUUCACAUUGAAAACUCUUGUUUUAGGACGAAGGAUUGUUUUCAUAAUGGUCUAAAGAACCCGAGAAUCACGAUCGUUAAUUUGGCUAUUACUAUGUAUCUAGAUGAUAAAUCUCUCAUGAACAUUGCUUUUAUGUGCCUGAACAUGGAGAUUCUUGAUGUGUCAUCGUGUACUAAUCAUAUGCCUGAAAAUGGAGAUUCUUGAUGUGUCAUCGUGUACUAAUCAUACCGAGGUGGGUAUUAUUUAUAUUCUUGAGGUGUGCAAUCAGAUAACUGUCAAGAGAUUAACCAUAUCGGAGAAGGCGCGACAUUGUCUAAUCUUGAGGUAAUUAGGGCAGUUGGUUAAACAUUAAAUGAUGGGCCUGGCCAUGAUUGCUAAUACCUAUUCUAUCCAGAUGAAAUGAAACUGGGAGAAUUGUGGAAUGACAACAGAGGGCUUACGUGCAAUGGUGAAAAAAUGUUUGGUGUUUUCAUACAUGGAGGUUAUGUCUUCUUUGAUGGAGAAUUGUCCUCAAGUUAUUAUCAAUUCUCUAAAUGUUUUGUUAUUUCGUAUUCAUCACUAAGUAGAGUUAUUCUAAGCCAUGUUGCUCUUCUUUAACCAAUAGCUUAAGGGGAUUUUAGUUGCACCAGGGAUGUCAAGUGUCCUCUGGUGUAAAUUUUGUCAAGGGUCCUUAGGUUUCCUCAGGGGAUUUUAGCUGCACCACCAACAUUGUAAUGGCAGUAUAGUUGUUCAACAUAAUGUGUAGUACCUGUUCACGAUUGUUGUACAACUCCACGCUGCAAUCAAAUCCCUUACACUCAUAAGAAAAAGGAAAACAUGACAUAUAAUUGUUUGACAUUAUUGAAAAAUGGAGUUUCGGUUUUCAACAGAACAAUGACACAGAGGGUUUUAAGUUUUUGUUAAACUUUAAAAAUGUCAAACUUGAUCUCGACACACAUUCCAAUGCUUCCUAGAUCUUCCUUCUUGUUAACCAUUAGAAACUAAACAUUUUAGAUGAUAUUACAGUCAAACUUUGAUUAAUUAGACUUUGAACUCUUUCAUUAAUACAUAGAACUAGAUCUCGACAUGCAAUUCAAUUCUAUAUACUUCAUUUACGGGAUAAGGCACAAAUGACGUAAAGAGGGUUUUAAGAUUUUGUUAAACUGUCAAACUUGAUCUCGAUAUACAAUCCAAUUCUCUCUAAGUUCCACUUCUCUUCCUUCUUGUAAACCAUUAGAAACUUGAUUUUUUAGAUGAUACUUCAGUCAACCUUUGAUCAAUUAGCUUUUGAAAUCUUUGGUUAUAAAAUAGAACUGGAUCUCGACAUACAAUCCAAUUCUUUCUAAAUUCCAAUUUACUGUAAUAGUCGAAUCACCAACCCAAGCUUGAGUGAUCAGUACCUUAUGAUUGAUAUCUCACUUUCGGCACUAGAUAAACUACUACCACUGUACUAGUUCCUGAGUCACAUCUAAUAUGCCACCUAUUCCAAGAAUCACUUUCUUAGUUGUCCAUGUAUCAAUCCCAAUUUUCACCCUGUACAGAUAGUUCUCCUACUUUUUGGAUGGUUUGCUAAACUGUAACUUUGAAGUGGAAGAGCUUUUAAAUUCUUGGUGGGAAAGCAAGCAAAAGGUUUUCUGACAUGCAAUGUGACAUGCGUCCCCUUGCAUUUAAUACUUUAGCAAUGUAUAAUCAUAUUAUGAUUGACCUAGAACUAACGUAGAUUGUCAACUUAAUGAUGACCAUUUAUUUUCCAAAUUUAUAUUAGAUUCCUCUCUAUACAUAAUUCUUCCCUACAACGAAUUGCUUUUUUGAAGUUGGUCCUCCUUUCUGACCUACAUAUCUUCAUCAAAAAACUUUUUUGAUGAAGAUAUGAAUGUUGGGAAGGAGGAAUAAUGUAAAAAAGGUAGUUCAUUGUAGGGAAGAAUGAUGUGUAAAGAGGAAGCUUAUAUAGAUUUUAAAAUAAAUGGUCAUCAUUGUGUUGAGAGUUGAAGUUACUUCUAGGUCAAUUAAAAUAUUAUGACAUGUGGAUGAAGUAUUAAAUGCAACGGAACACAUAUCACAUCAAGUGUCAGAAAACAUUUCCUUGGUUUCCACCAAGAAUUGAAAAACACUUACCCUUCCAAGUUACAAUUGGGCAAAGCAUCCGAAAAGCGAGAGAACUAUCUGUAUGGGAUGAAAAUUGGAUUCGAUACAAAAACGAAUUGGAAAGUGACACUUGGAAUAGCUGACAGAUUAUAUUAGACAUGACUCAGGAAAUGGUACAGUGGUAGGAGCUCGUCUAUAUCCGAAAGCAAGAUACCAAUCAUAAGGUACUGACCGAUCAAGCUUGGUUGGGGAUUCAACCAUUACGAAGUCGUCAAUUUGUAAUAUUGUACCUUUAAUGUGAUAUAUUAGGAAACAAUUCGGGGAUUUGGUCCCAAGUUGGUCGGCAUAGUGCUUGUAUUCCUUAUUGAAAGAGGAUAAGAGGAAUUUUUUCAUUCAUUCACAAGUACAAGGCAAACAAUUUCUCAAAGAUGAAAGUUCUUUAUGAGUUCAAAUUUUCUUGCUCUUAGCUAUUCAGAGAUAUUGAAAGUUAGUUGUUCCUAGAUCCAGGAUGUUUCUUUUCAUUGUUUUUAUUUAACCGAUAGUCAUGACAUUAACUGUACCUAUUAUAGGGUAAACAAAAAUCAAGAUUUUUUUUUUAUCAAUGUUUUGAUGUUUAAAAUAAUAUAAACAAAGAGGUAAGGAAUUAGGAGUAAGAAAAAGACAAGAUGUCAUAAAAAUAUUAUAAGGUGUUGAGCUAGAUGUAUUUGUGUUGUGUAGGUAAUAUGGAGCAACUUUGGAAUAGGACCUUGCAGAUUAUCUUAUUUAACGUAACUGUGAUUAACAAUAUAAAUGGCUCUCUUUCGUUGUCUAAUUUUGGAUAAUCAUGAAAAUGUCGUCACUCCAUCUUCAAUUCGAUAAUUUUCUGGGUCCAUUUCUUGGUAAUUUUUCUAUUUGAAAAAAAAAAAACUUUCCAUUUAAAGGAUUUGUACUUUUCCAUUCUAUAUAAUAGUAACAACAUUUGGUAUCAUUUUGAAUAUCCAUUUCAUUUCUUUCCUCUCUGCACCCUAAUUGUGGGAUUAUAUUGAGUAUGUUAUUGUUGACUCAUUGUAGGUAUUUCUUUCGGAUGUGAAAAGAUGGAUGAUUGUGUUGAACUAAGUAUUAAAUUCACAACAAACACUUCUAGAUUAUAAAUCAAAGGCUUAAUUAAUUCUUUAUUUAAACGGGAUCCUACACAUAAGAAUUAGGUAGUACUACAAUUCAUACUUCUUUCUACAAUUUAAGCAAACCUUUUUGCGUUUAAGGGCCUUGGUUUGACCUGCCAGUUUUUGUCAGCAUCAUCAUAUAAACAAGAACAGAACAUGUUGUAAGGAUGGACACUAUCAUAAUUUUGAUUGCAUUGGCAGCAUAAAUGAAGGGGAAAUUAAAAUCUGACAUUUAGAUGUCAAAUCUUCCUUCUAAAAUUGUUAUCUAGAAGAGGAGAUUUCUAUAGCUCAACCCAAAGUUUUGUAGCUCAAGGAAGUGAAGGUACGAUGUAUAAGUUUCUAGUGGUUUCAUUCAAUCCACGACCCUUGUUAGUAAUCUAUUUAGCGGGUAAAUCGAUGUGUUGUUGCCUCUGCCCAAAAAGUUUUUGAAAACUUUUUCUUUAUAGAGCUCAGUUACUUUUUGUUCCUUACAGGCAGAAGUUUUAGCAUAUCUGGGAUGAACUAAUCUUGGAGCAUUGACAGAAGCAACUUAUAGAUGGAAUGUUACUAGUUUAAGCUUGGAAUUCCAUAAAACCAUCAAUAAGACAUCUAACGUGUUUGGUUCAUUGUGUUUUACUCAUGUACCAACUAUCAAAUGGACUAAGGUUGAUUAUAAACUGGAAAAAGUAAUUUUUGGUUGGGUAUAGCUCUAUGUCUAAGGGCUAUAUCAUUUGCAUUAUUAAAUCUUAGAAAGUUUCUAUACGUAGAGAUGUGAAGGUGGAUGAAGAGUUCUAUUGUGAUUUGAAUAUCUCUCAAGUCCGAAGGAUGGAUAUUGAACCUGCUUUAGAAGAUUCGAAUAAAGACUUGGAAGCAAAUGAUGAUGAAGAAUUUUAUGUUAGAGGUUCUAGAUCUUUGGCAAAAAAUUAUGGAAGAUAUAAUCUUGUUAUUGUGGAACCCAGGGGCGGAUCUACAUGGUGGCAAGGGGGUUCACCCGAACCCCCUUCGUCGGAAAAUUACACCGUAUAUAUAAGGUCAAAUUCUGUUUUCAUGUGUAUAUAUAUUAAAAUGAACCCCCUUAAUAUAAGUAAAGAGGUUGGCUCAGUGGUUAAGGGGUUCAAGAAUUUGCCUGGACGCCUUGGGUUCGAUUCCGCACGGCAACACUUCUUUUUCUUUUCUUCAUUUAGAAAAUCAAAUAGCUAGGCUGAGAUGGGCUCAAUAUUUUUGGGCUGGAGCUUUAUUAUUAUUUUUUGGGCUUAUUUUUUUCAAUGUUAUUUCUCCUUUUCAAUAUUCAUUUGUUUGAAUAUAGGGAUUAGGCACAUUAUUUUCAUUUUUUGUAUUUUAUUCUUUUUAUCUCUAUUGCUCAUUUUAUUUUUACGUAACUCUUUUUUUAUAUAGUAAUUCAAAGGAACUUUUUAAAAAACUGUCAAUUAUUCUUAAACUUGAAUUUGAGAUAGAGAAAAAAUAUUUUAAAGAUAAGUUACACUAAAUUUAAUCGAACGAACAAAUUUGAAAGGCAUGAUUAUUCAUGAUAUUUUUUUCUCAUUUUUUCAUUUCUAUUCUAGAGAGAUGUAAACUACAUUUAUUUGAUUAUUCUUCUUUUAUUUUUCACCGAUUGAAAACCUUAUUAAUUGAAUAAAUGAACAAAAAAUUGGCGAUGCCAUUUAUUUAUCCUUUUAAUAUGCAUUAUAAUAUUAGUAACUCAAUCCCCACACGUUUGUAAAGAGUAUCAAACAAUUUUAAAGUAACAUAUGAUUGAAUGAACACGAAUUUAAUUUAUUUAAAAAUUCAAAAUAAAGUAAAACAAUAAAAAAAUAAAAGAAAAAAAAUCACUUUUUUAAAAAAGAAAAUCAAUGAAGCAGGGUAAAAGUAGGAAACAAAGUUAAACGCGGCUUGACAAGGCAAAUUAAAUUUAACAGAUUAAGGAUAAUUUUUUUCUUCCCCGAUUCGUUUUGCUCCAUUUUUUUAUUUACUUCUUUAUAUGUUGAACCCCCUCCACGAAAAUCCUGGCUCCGCCACUGGACCUGAGUAUCCUCCAGUCCACUUGAAAAACAAAGUUUCUGAUGUCAGCUCAAAUUCGGAUGUAACUGUUGUUGUUGAUGGUACUUGGAGGGAGGGCGAUUUGGUUGACUGGUUGUACGAUGACUGUUAUUGGUCCGGACAAGUGACGAAGUUACUUGACAAUGGAAAAGCUAAGGUAAUAGUAUUGUUUAAAUUUCACACAUGCUGAUUAAUAAGUUGGUGUGUUUACUGCUGAUAUCCAGUUAUAUGCAUUAGGAAUCCCCUAGUUGUCCUUUAGAAAUAAAUUACUGCAAAAAGUUGUUAAGGAUAUUGUAGGUAUACAGGGUAUUUACUGUUAUGGUGUAUUUAGAAUAUCAUUAACAUUGUAUUGGAAUGAUAUGAACUUGGAUAGAGCUGAAUGAUUACAUAUGAUUCCACAACUUUAUUUGGGAUUGAAAGUUGGUCGAUUGAUUGAUUAUUGAGAUCCUUAGGCAAAACAACUACUUUCUGGGGACUGUCAUGAUGCCUUUUACUUGAAAUUUAUUUCUUCAAAUCGAUGUGAUAAUUAAAAGCAACUUUAGUUGUGCACUUAAUUUUUUUUUCCUUGAAGAUCCAUCCUCUACUCACCAUGCAUGACAGCUCUGUAUCUUAGCUAAUGAUUUGUAUGAUAAUACUUCAUGUUUUUUUCUUUUUAGAUUGAGUUGUUGCCACCUCCAUUGGGUGAAGGUGAAACUUAUGACGCCUUUGUCAAGGAUUUGCGUCCAUCCUUAGAUUGGUCUCCAGAGUAUGGUUGGGUUAUGCCUGCAUCACAGGUUCUUUCCUUAAACUUUUAUGAUCUCAAUUCAGGGGCGGAUCUACAUGGUGGCAAGGGGGUUCACCCGAACCCCCUUCGUCGGAAAAUUACACCGUAUAUAUAAGGUCAAAUUCUGUUUUCAUGUGUAUAUAUAUUAAAAUGAACCCCCUUAAUAUAAGUAAAGAGGCUGGCUCAGUGGUUAAGGGUGUUCAAGAAUUUGCCUGGACGCCUUGGGUUCGAUUCCGCACGGCAACACUUCUUUUUCUUUUCUUCAUUUAGAAAAUCAAAUAGCUAGGCUGAGAUGGGCUCAAUAUUUUUGGGCUGGAGCUUUAUUAUUAUUUUUUGGGCUUAUUUUUUUCAAUGUUAUUUCUCCUUUUCAAUAUUCAUUUGUUUGAAUAUAGGGAAUUAGGCACAUUAUUUUCAUUUUUUGUAUUUUAUUCUUUUUAUCUCUAUUGCUCAUUUUAUUUUUACGUAACUCUUUUUUUAUAUAGUAAUUCAAAGGAACUUUUUAAAAAACUGUCAAUUAUUCUUAAACUUGAAUUUGAGAUAGAGAAAAAAUAUUUUAAAGAUAAGUUACACUAAAUUUAAUCGAACGAACAAAUUUGAAAGGCAUGAUUAUUCAUGAUAUUUUUUUCUCAUUUUUUCAUUUCUAUUCUAGAGAGAUGUAAACUACAUUUAUUUGAUUAUUCUUCUUUUAUUUUUCACCGAUUGAAAACCUUAUUAAUUGAAUAAAUGAACAAAAAAUUGGCGAUGCCAUUUAUUUAUCCUUUUAAUAUGCAUUAUAAUAUUAGUAACUCAAUCCCCACACGUUUGUAAAGAGUAUCAAACAAUUUUAAAGUAACAUAUGAUUGAAUGAACACGAAUUUAAUUUAUUUAAUAAUUCAAAAUAAAGUAAAACAAUAAAAAAAUAAAAGAAAAAAAAUCACUUUUUUUAAAAAGAAAAUCAAUGAAGCAGGGUAAAAGUAGGAAACAAAGUUAAACGCGGCUUGACAAGGCAAAUUAAAUUUAACAGAUUAAGGAUAAUUUUUUUCUUCCCCGAUUCGUUUUGCUCCAUUUUUUUAUUUACUUCUUUAUAUGUUGAACCCCCUCCACGAAAAUCCUGGCUCCGCCACUGGUGGAACCUUCAAACUUUUAAGAUGCCAGUGGGAUUGAAGAAUAGAAGCGAGCAUUGAAGGAGGAAAUAGCCAUGAUUGACAAGAACGAGCUGUGGAAACUCAUUGAUAAACCUGAAACUAAGCAAGUUAUUGGAGUUAAAUAGGUUUACGUAGAGAAGUUUCAUGCGUAUGGAUCAAUAAACAAGAGCAAAGAGAAUUUGGUUGUUAAAGUUUAUUCUCAAAAACCUGGAGUUGAUUAUUUAGAUAGUUCUGCACCUGUUGCAAGGAUGAACACCAUCAGUAUUUUGAUUGCAUUGGCAGCACAGAUGAAGUGGAAAAUCCUUCAUUUAGAUGUUAAAUCUGCCUUCCGGAAUGGUUUUCUAGAAGAGGAGAUUUAUUGAGCUCAACCUGAAGGUUUGGUAGUUUAAGGAAAUGAAGGUAAGGUGUAUAAGCUUCAACCCGUGUCAUUCCAUCCACGACCUUGUUUGUAGUCUAUUUCGCAAGUAAAUUGAUGUGUUUAUCGCCUCGACCCAAAAAGACUUUGGCAUCAUUUCCAUAACAGAGCUCGGUUGCUUCUCGUUCCUUGCAGGCAAAAGUUUUAGCACAUAUGGGAUGAACUAGUCUUGGUGCACUGACAGAAGAAACACUUGUACUUAUAGCUUGCUCAAUACCUACCAUUUAUUCUUCACCCGUGUCACUAUCUGCUCUUAUUUCUUCAUAACUUAGAACAUCAUCACAUAAAAUCUGCAAAACCAUGAUUUUCUGUGAUAACGUUCUAAAUUCUACAGAAAUAAGAGCAAAAUUGACGCGCAUGAAGAAUCAAUGGUAGCUAUUGAGUCAGAUAUAAGUACAAAGUGUUGCUUUUAUCAGUGCACCAAAGCAACCGAGCUCUCUGAAGAAAAGUUGCCAAAGUCUUUUUUAAGGGUCGUGGAUGGAAUGACACAUGUUUAAGCUUAUACACCUUACCUUCACUUCCUUGAACUACAAAACCUUCAGGUUGAGCUACAUAAAUCUCCUCAUUUAGAAAACAAAUCAAGAAGGAAGAUUUGAUAUCUAAACACCAGAUGUUCCUUCCAGAUGUAGCUCAGUACAAAGGUUUUGUAGUUCCUUCAAAAAGCUCUAUAUGGUUUGAAGCAGGCUCCAAGGGCUUGGUACAGCAGAAUCGAUGCUCAAUUGGCAACCAAUGUUCCCAAACAAAAUGACAAUGAUGCUACACUUUAUGUGUAGAAACUUCUUAAUGAUGGAGCCGAAUAGUGAGAUGCUUCAUUUUUUAGAAGUUUGAUUGGAAGUUGUCUUGGCAGCUCAAGACCUGAUUUAAUGUAUGCUGCUAGUUUUCUUUCAAGAUUAAUGCAAAGUCUCAGCAACAUUCAUUUUACUGUUGUGAAAAGAGUGCUUUGAUACUUAGGAGGAACUCUGUAAGUUGGAAUAUGGUUCAGACCUGUGGAACAAGGUGCUUUGCUUGGCAUUGUUGAUAGUCAUUGGGGUGGACAUAUUGACGAUAUGAAGAGCACUACUGGCUAUGCUUUUUCCUUGGGUCUGGUAUGUUUUCAUGGAAUUCAAAGAAGAUACAAAUAGUGGCGCAAUCUACCAUAGAGGAAGAGUAUUUAGCAGCAUCUACAGAUGCAAAUCAAGUUAUUUGGUUAAGGAGAAUUCUGAAGGGUCUUGGAAUGAAAUUGCAAGUUGCAAAUAAGAUCAAGUGUAAUAACAAAUCAGCAAUUCUAAUUGCAGAAAAUCCAGUGCGGCAUGGUAAAAUAAAGCAUAUCUUUGUCAAGUUUCAUGCCAUUAGAGAAGCCGAGAAGAAAAAGGAAAUCAAGCUUGUUCAUUGUUGUUCCAAGAAUCAACUCGCUGAUAUUUUAAUAAAGCUCUUCCCAAAUUCAGAUUCCAAAUAAAGCUCUUCAUCCUUAUUUAAUUUGUGCCUCAAAGAUCAAGCUCUUGUUCUUCUGCAGUUUAAGAAAAUGUUUACCAUAACUCCUUAUGUUUCUUAUUGCUCCUACAAAACAAUAAAUCAAAAUAUUGAGUCAUAUCCAAAGACAUUUACAUGGAAUACAAGCAGUAAUUGUUGCUCAUAGGCUGGAGUUUAUUGUGACGAGACAACGGGACAAGUGAUUGAGCUUGACCUUAGUUGCAGCCAACUUCAAGGUAAGUUUCAUCCCAACUGUAGCCUCUUUCAACUCUCCUCUCUUAAAAGGUUUGAUUUGUCUCGUAAUGAUUUCUCUCAGUCACACAUUUCACCUAAAUUUGGUGAGUUUUCUAGCUUAACACAUCUUGAUCUAUCAGAUUCGAAUAUGUCAGGUCUGAUCCCUUCUGAAAUCUCUCACAUUUCAAAAUUGCAAGCUCUACGAAUCUCAAGAAAUAAUGCACAUGAUCAAGAUGGACUUCACCUAGGGCCUCACAAUUUUAAACUGCUAGUUAAGAACAUAACCCAAUUAAGAGAACUUGACCUUUUCUUAGUGGACAUCUCUUCCACCAUUCCUCUAAAUUUCUCUUCAUCUUUAAUAUAUCUAGAACUCUAAGAGACACAACUAUUUGGAAAUAAUAUAUCUAGAACUUUAAGAGACACAACUCUUUGGAAUAUUUCCCGCAAGAGUUUUCCUCCUUUCAAACUUGAAAUAUUUUUAUUUAUCAUCCAAUCCACAGCUCACAGUACAGUUUCCCACAACCAAAUGAAAUAGCAGUGAAUGCCUCAUGGAGUUAUAUCUCACUGGUGUGAAUUUUAUUGAUAAGAUACCUCAAUCAUUUAGCUAUUUAACUUUAUUACUUCAAUUGGACAUGAGAUCUUGUAAUCCCUCAGGGUCCAUGCCUCGACCUCUAUGGAAUCUCACCAAUGUAGAGUAUUUGCUCCUUGAUAAUAACUACUUAGAAGGACCAAUUUCCCUGUUCACACUUGAGAAGCUCAUAGUUUUAUCACUUCAAAAUAAAUAUUUUUGCGUGCAUGUCCUUUAAAGGUAGCUAGAGUCCACAACUUGAAAGCUUAGAUAUUUCUUCCAAUUCCCUAACUGGUCCAAUUCCUUCCAAUAUAAGAGUCCAGCCCCAAGGCUACCCCCUAAACAUAACACGGGACCUAGGAUCAUGAGAGACCCCAAGCUAACCCUAAGUCUGGUAUAUCACAAGCAUACUAAAUAUAUAUAACUAAGUAAGCAGAAGCAUAACUGUAAAAUGAGUCAAAAUUAAAGGAUUCCAAAUGAGCAUAAAUCUGAAUAUAUGUGGGAAACAACCCCAAAACAUUGAACACUGACUCUAUGUCUGGAAACCUAUAAUACUGAUGAGCUGCUGGGACUAGUCCCCAACUAACUCUAAAACUACUGAAAGAGUCAAAAUAAGCUAACUACACCAAACAUGAAGAAAAGUCCUCAAACUAUGAUGACUCACCACUGAAGUUGCUGAGUAUGAGCUGGAAAUCGAACUAAUCAUAAUCUGAAUGCUGAGUGCAUGAACCUACAUCAUAAAAUGAUGUAGCGUAAAGUAGGUAAAUUCUUGACUGCAGCAACUUCUAAGUUUCGUUUGUUUCAUUCUUCCUCAAAUGGGUAGGAAUAGAUCGUUAGUGGGUGGGUGAGAGCCUUUUGCACAUACAAAUGGAGCCCCACAAGCGGUAGUGUAACGACCCUAAAANNNNNNNNNNNNNNNNNNNNNNNNNNNNNNNNNNNNNNNNNNNNNNNNNNNNNNNNNNNNNNNNNNNNNNNNNNNNNNNNNNNNNNNNNNNNNNNNNNNNNNNNNNNNNNNNNNNNNNNNNNNNNNNNNNNNNNNNNNNNNNNNNNNNNNNNNNNNNNNNNNNNNNNNNNNNNNNNNNNNNNNNNNNNNNNNNNNNNNNNNNNNNNNNNNNNNNNNNNNNNNNNNNNNNNNNNNNNNNNNNNNNNNNNNNNNNNNNNNNNNNNNNNNNNNNNNNNNNNNNNNNNNNNNNNNNNNNNNNNNNNNNNNNNNNNNNNNNNNNNNNNNNNNNNNNNNNNNNNNNNNNNNNNNNNNNNNNNNNNNNNNNNNNNNNNNNNNNNNNNNNNNNNNNNNNNNNNNNNNNNNNNNNNNNNNNNNNNNNNNNNNNNNNNNNNNNNNNNNNNNNNNNNNNNNNNNNNNNNNNNNNNNNNNNNNNNNNNNNNNNNNNNNNNNNNNNNNNNNNNNNNNNNNNNNNNNNNNNNNNNNNNNNNNNNNNNNNNNNNNNNNNNNNNNNNNNNNNNNNNNNNNNNNNNNNNNNNNNNNNNNNNNNNNNNNNNNNNNNNNNNNNNNNNNNNNNNNNNNNNNNNNNNNNNNNNNNNNNNNNNNNNNNNNNNNNNNNNNNNNNNNNNNNNNNNNNNNNNNNNNNNNNNNNNNNNNNNNNNNNNNNNNNNNNNNNNNNNNNNNNNNNNNNNNNNNNNNNNNNNNNNNNNNNNNNNNNNNNNNNNNNNNNNNNNNNNNNNNNNNNNNNNNNNNNNNNNNNNNNNNNNNNNNNNNNNNNNNNNNNNNNNNNNNNNNNNNNNNNNNNNNNNNNNNNNNNNNNNNNNNNNNNNNNNNNNNNNNNNNNNNNNNNNNNNNNNNNNNNNNNNNNNNNNNNNNNNNNNNNNNNNNNNNNNNNNNNNNNNNNNNNNNNNNNNNNNNNNNNNNNNNNNNNNNNNNNNNNNNNNNNNNNNNNNNNNNNNNNNNNNNNNNNNNNNNNNNNNNNNNNNNNNNNNNNNNNNNNNNNNNNNNNNNNNNNNNNNNNNNNNNNNNNNNNNNNNNNNNNNNNNNNNNNNNNNNNNNNNNNNNNNNNNNNNNNNNNNNNNNNNNNNNNNNNNNNNNNNNNNNNNNNNNNNNNNNNNNNNNNNNNNNNNNNNNNNNNNNNNNNNNNNNNNNNNNNNNNNNNNNNNNNNNNNNNNNNNNNNNNNNNNNNNNNNNNNNNNNNNNNNNNNNNNNNNNNNNNNNNNNNNNNNNNNNNNNNNNNNNNNNNNNNNNNNNNNNNNNNNNNNNNNNNNNNNNNNNNNNNNNNNNNNNNNNNNNNNNNNNNNNNNNNNNNNNNNNNNNNNNNNNNNNNNNNNNNNNNNNNNNNNNNNNNNNNNNNNNNNNNNNNNNNNNNNNNNNNNNNNNNNNNNNNNNNNNNNNNNNNNNNNNNNNNNNNNNNNNNNNNNNNNNNNNNNNNNNNNNNNNNNNNNNNNNNNNNNNNNNNNNNNNNNNNNNNNNNNNNNNNNNNNNNNNNNNNNNNNNNNNNNNNNNNNNNNNNNNNNNNNNNNNNNNNNNNNNNNNNNNNNNNNNNNNNNNNNNNNNNNNNNNNNNNNNNNNNNNNNNNNNNNNNNNNNNNNNNNNNNNNNNNNNNNNNNNNNNNNNNNNNNNNNNNNNNNNNNNNNNNNNNNNNNNNNNNNNNNNNNNNNNNNNNNNNNNNNNNNNNNNAUAUGAAAUGAUGUUGGAUUAUGAAGUAUCCUUAAAUGAAAAUGUGUGUCUUGAAUCGGUAGACUUAGGUGCCUCUUAUUGAUACAUGAAAGCUAUGGAAUGUGAUCUCUUGAGUUGGUAGGCUUAGACAUCCUUUUCUUGAGAAAUGAAUGUAUCUUGACUUGAGGCCUUAUUGUAUUGAAUUGGUAGACCUUGAGUUGGUGCCUUUUCAUAAAUGAAUGAAUGUCNNNNNNNNNNNNNNNNNNNNNNNNNNNNNNNNNNNNNNNNNNNNNNNNNNNNNNNNNNNNNNNNNNNNNNNNNNNNNNNNNNNNNNNNNNNNNNNNNNNNNNNNNNNNNNNNNNNNNNNNNNNNNNNNNNNNNNNNNNNNNNNNNNNNNNNNNNNNNNNNNNNNNNNNNNNNNNNNNNNNNNNNNNNNNNNNNNNNNNNNNNNNNNNNNNNNNNNNNNNNNNNNNNNNNNNNNNNNNNNNNNNNNNNNNNNNNNNNNNNNNNNNNNNNNNNNNNNNNNNNNNNNNNNNNNNNNNNNNNNNNNNNNNNNNNNNNNNNNNNNNNNNNNNNNNNNNNNNNNNNNNNNNNNNNNNNNNNNNNNNNNNNNNNNNNNNNNNNNNNNNNNNNNNNNNNNNNNNNNNNNNNNNNNNNNNNNNNNNNNNNNNNNNNNNNNNNNNNNNNNNNNNNNNNNNNNNNNNNNNNNNNNNNNNNNNNNNNNNNNNNNNNNNNNNNNNNNNNNNNNNNNNNNNNNNNNNNNNNNNNNNNNNNNNNNNNNNNNNNNNNNNNNNNNNNNNNNNNNNNNNNNNNNNNNNNNNNNNNNNNNNNNNNNNNNNNNNNNNNNNNNNNNNNNNNNNNNNNNNNNNNNNNNNNNNNNNNNNNNNNNNNNNNNNNNNNNNNNNNNNNNNNNNNNNNNNNNNNNNNNNNNNNNNNNNNNNNNNNNNNNNNNNNNNNNNNNNNNNNNNNNNNNNNNNNNNNNNNNNNNNNNNNNNNNNNNNNNNNNNNNNNNNNNNNNNNNNNNNNNNNNNNNNNNNNNNNNNNNNNNNNNNNNNNNNNNNNNNNNNNNNNNNNNNNNNNNNNNNNNNNNNNNNNNNNNNNNNNNNNNNNNNNNNNNNNNNNNNNNNNNNNNNNNNNNNNNNNNNNNNNNNNNNNNNNNNNNNNNNNNNNNNNNNNNNNNNNNNNNNNNNNNNNNNNNNNNNNNNNNNNNNNNNNNNNNNNNNNNNNNNNNNNNNNNNNNNNNNNNNNNNNNNNNNNNNNNNNNNNNNNNNNNNNNNNNNNNNNNNNNNNNNNNNNNNNNNNNNNNNNNNNNNNNNNNNNNNNNNNNNNNNNNNNNNNNNNNNNNNNNNNNNNNNNNNNNNNNNNNNNNNNNNNNNNNNNNNNNNNNNNNNNNNNNNNNNNNNNNNNNNNNNNNNNNNNNNNNNNNNNNNNNNNNNNNNNNNUUUGAUAGGUUUCUAAGUGUUGAAGAUGAAGACUUGGUGAGUCCUCAUAGAUUCGAGGACAAUACCCAAUAUGUUCUUUUAUGUCUUUUUAGUAUUGUUUAAGUUGUGUACGGGAUUAGUCCCGAAUUUUGUACUCUAAAGUAUUAGAUGGUUUUGAGACAUCAUGUAUAAAGUCUAGAAAGUCUUCCGCUUGCUAUUAUUAUUUUUUUAUUAUGAAAUGUUUUCUUGGUAAAGAAAGUUUUAAAUUCCUUAUGGUUUUAGUGUAUAUGCAAUGAAUGAAUGCUAAGAGGCUUGUAUUAGACCUCUUCGAGGUCGAGUACGCCGGUUACGACUAGGGGGUACUCCCGGGUCGUGACAGGUAGAGGUCGAGGUGGACCUAGAGGUCAAAGAAGAACAAAAGUUACUGCACAAGAUUGAGAUCACAAGCGGCCAUUGUCAGUAGAGUCUAUUAUAUAGGUUGAGCAGGUUCACCGUCAAUCAGAUGGCGUGGGGGCCAUCCCAGCCUGCGCCAAGAUUUAUUGUCAAGAAAAUUUUACAUGACACUCUAUCAACUAUCCUCAACUUUAUUGAUGAUACGUCUGAGUUGUGGACAUAGAUUGGUACUUUGACUAGUCCCCAUAUUAGAGACGAGGCUCAAACUUCAGCGCAAGCAAUGGCACUAGUUGCAUAUGUUUCAGUGGUGAAUUUUUCUACUAUGGAUCCCCGCUUAGUGGUUGAGUCAAUUUUGACAAUUGCACCGCCCUAGGCAGCUAGGCUUUGUCAUGUCUUUUGAGGAGCAAAAGAUGUUAGGACGGGUCAUCAAAUUGGGUCCUCCAAUGUUCUCAGGUUCUAUAGGCGAGGAUGCCCACAAGUUUCUAGUGAAUUUCUAAGAGAGGGUGCAUAACCUUGGUCUAGUUGUGUCACAAAUGGUUGAUAACACUACUUUCCUUAUGGAUGGGCCAGCGAGCAGUGGUGGAGGUCAACUCUGGAGUGUAGACCGGUUGGGUCACCACUCACCUUCUAUGUUACUAGCUCAGUUCUCUGAGCCUUUGUUGGAGAAGUAUGUACCUCGUAGCUUCGAAGAGAGGUUGUCGAAUGACUUCACGUACCUGUUGUAGGAAGUAUGUCAAUUUCAGAGUAUGAUACAUGGCUUCAUGAGCUAGCCAAUCAUACAACUACGCUUAUGGUAAUAUAGCAUAUGUGAGUGCGUAGGUUGGUCAGAAGGUUGGCAUUUCCCUUUUGGCUUGCUACAGAUUAGAUGGUAGUAUUGGGAUAUUAAUUUAAUAGAUAGUUUAUCAUGUGCACAACAUCGAGGGGAUACGUCAUGAGGCCUAUGGAGGUAACAACAAGAGGCCCCAUCGUGAUGGUGGUUUAACCAGGUCUUAGUCAUGUGGUAGGGGUUUCCCAAGUAGAGCUCACCCACAAUAGUUUUAUCCUAGUAGGCCAAUUUUGGCUUCUUCACAAAUUAAAGAUGAUGGUUCCAUGGUGUCAUUGGUCAGGGCAUCCAUGCUUUGGCCAUACUUCUCGGGGUUCACAUUAGGGGUAUAUGGGUUGUAAUGGUUAGUCAUGUCCAAUCAGGUCGUCUUAACAAAUUUCUUCUAGUAGGGGAUGUUUUAAGUGUGGUGUGUUGGGCAACUAUUUUAGAUAUUGUCCUAUAAUUCAUCACCGCAUAAGACAGGAUUAGUAGUUUCAAGCCCAUAGGGCUCUGCUAUCGUUAACUAAAAGUGGCGCACAAGGUAUAGCAGGGGUGGUCCCUAGGGUGAUCGAGGUGUUUCUCAAUCACUCAGGCUAGGUUGUCGAAGUGGACGCGAUAAUAUAAAUGCAUUUUACAUAAGCCAAAUGUGGAGGUUUCAUAUGUUGUCAUCAUAGGUAGGAUUUUUGUCUCUCAUCAACCUUUUUAUGCUUUGUUUGAUUUGACAUCUACUUAUUCAUUUGUAUCUUCCUAUUAUGAUACACAUUAUAAUUUAUCUUGUAAGACUUUGCAUGUACAUGUGUGUGUAGCUAUCUCCAUAGGUGAUUUUUUAGUUAUGGAUCAAGCGUAUAGAUUCUGUGUGGUAUCCAUAUAGGGGUAUGACACUUGGUAGACUUGAUUGUGUUGGAUAUGAUAGAUUUUGAGGUGAUAUUAUGCAUGGAUUGGCCGUCUCUUUAUUAUGCGGUCUUGGAUUGCUUUUCCAAUACUAUCACUUGGAGCAUGCAUGGUAUCCCUCCGACUGUGCGGAUGGAUGUCAAUAGCCAUGUCAAGGGGUGUGAUAAUAUUUUUAUAGUGCGGGGGUUGGUAGGAAGGGUUGUAUAGCUUAUCUUGCUUAUGUUUGGGAUACCACUAGAGAAAUUCCUUCAAACAAGGAAGUUCUUAUUUUUAGAAAGUUCUUUGAUGUGUUUUUUUUCAUUCUACCUAGUCUUUCUCGUGAUAGCAACAUUGAUUUCAACAUUGAUGUUGAACAGGGCACGCGGCUAGUUUCUAUAUUUCCCUAUCAGAUGGAUCUAACUGAGUUGAGUAACCUUAAGGAGCAGCCGUAGGACCUUGUGAGUAAGGGGUUCCUUAGGCCUAGUGUUUCUCAUUGAGGUGCUCAUGCUCUGUUCUUGAAGAAUAAGGAUUGUUUAUUGCAUAUGUAUAUUGACUAUAGGUAGUUGAACAAGGUGACCAUCAAGAAUAGAUAUUUAAUAGCGUGUAUGGAUAAUUGUUUGACCAGCUAGAGGGUGUAGCGAUGUUCUCUAAGAUAGAUUUGAGAUCAGGCUACCUCUAGUUGAGGAUUAGGGUGGUGGACUUCCACAGACUACUAUUAGGACUCUAUACGACUACUAGGAGUUCCUAGUCAUGUCUUCCUAGUUGACCAAUACCCCAACAACCUUCAAAGAAUUUAUAAACCGUGUGGUUCAGCCUUAUUUAGAUUCAUUUGUGAUAGUUUUCAUUGUUGACAUUCUAAUCUACCCCAGGAGUAGGGAGCAUAUGAGCAGCAUCUAAUGAUUGUGAACUAGACAUUCUGAGAUUAGCAGUUGUAUGCCAAAUUCAGUAAGUAUGAGUUUUGUCUUGAUUGUGUGGAAUUCUUAGAAACCAUUCGUUUAAGAAUAGGAUUACGGUAGAUCGGCAAGAUAAAGGCAGUACGUGAUUGGUCCUAGCCUACUUUUCCUACUGAAGUUUAGAGUUCUAUUGGGUUAGCAUGCUACUACACAAUGUUUGUGAAUGUAUUUUAUUCUAUAGUAGUACCUUUGACUAGAUUCACUCAUAAGAAUGUCCCUAUUCAGUGGUCUGGCGAGUGUCAUCACGUGAGCUUUAGAAAGCUCACGACCUUGUUGACUUCACCUUUGAUUUUGACACUUCUUGUUGAACUUUAUGGAUUUAUAGUCUACUAUGAUGCUUUUGGUGUUGGCAUGAGUUGUGUGUUGAUGAAGUAGGUAAGAGUUAUUACAUAUUUUUCUAUGAAGUUGAAUAUUCAUGAAAGGAAGUACCUAAUUUCUGACUUGGAGUUAGCGGCGACAGUCUUCACGUUGAAGAUUUGGAGGCACUACUUAUAUGCAGUUCUCUGUGAGGUAUUCACCAACCAGCAUACUCUUUAGUACAUUUUUAGUCGGAAGGACCUUUAUGUGAGACAUCCUAGGUUAGAGUUCCUGAAUGACUAUGAUGUGACAAUGCUCUAACACUUGAGCAAGAAAAAAAUCAUAGCAGAUCCAUUGUGUCAAUUUUCUACUGAAUGCCUCUCAAAGUGAGAUAUUCUUUCCAUUAUAUAGAGAAAAUAAAGAUUACACAUCCCUAAAUAUCCUCCAUUCCUAUCCCUAAAGAACAGCUAUUCUAUCUCUACAAAUCUGUUACUGAAUCCCACUAAAUCUGCCUUGCUAUCCCUCCAAAUCAGCUAUUCUAUCACAAUAUUUAUUACUUUGAUUCUACAACAAAUGUAUAUGAUCAUGCUAAUUUAUAUCACUAUAUAAAUAUAUUAAUAUAUACAAUCAUUUAGUUGUCUAUCAUGCUAACAUCCCCUCUCAAAUUGAUGCUGGUGGAUCAAGAAGCAUCAAUUUGCUUACUAGAAACUAAUGGCGUUGCCGUGCCAUGGAUUUUGUAAAUGCAUUAGCUAUUUAAAGAUCACUGGACACAUGUGGAAGAGUAAUGACUCUUUUAUAUACAACUUCUCGUAUAUAAUGACAAUCCACUUCGAUGUGUUUGGUCCUCUCAUGAAAUACUGGAUUAGUAGCAAUCUGAAUAGCACUUGUAUUGUCACCAUGGAUAGGAGUGGGAUGGGAUUGAGGAAAUCCAAUCUCAGCAAGUAAUCCAUGAAGCCAUACAACCUCGGAGCAAGCAGUAGACAUGGAUCAUUAUUCAGGCUCUGUUGAAGAUUUUGACACACGAUCUUGCUUUUUACUCUUCCAAGAUAUCAAUGACUCUCCAAGAAACAUGCACCAACCAGAGACUGAACGAUGAGUAUCAGGACAUCCCGUCCAAUCAGAAUCACUGAAAGCAUCAAGACGAAUAGGAGAACCACUUAGAAAUAAAAAUCCACGAGUAGAUGUUCCUAGAAGGUACCGAAUGAUGUGACGAAUAGUCACCAAGUUGAGAUGACGGGGAGCUUGCAUAAGUUGACUAACUUGUUGAACUACAAAAGAGAUAUUAGGCCGAGUAAUAGUAAGGUAAUUUAGACUCCCAACUAAAUGUCAAAAUAUAGUUGGAUCAGGAAGAAGAUCGCCUUCCUCACGACAAUACUUGACAUUUAAUUCCAGUGGAGUAUCUACGGAGGAGAAAACUUGAAGACCAGCCAAAGAAAUCAGAUCAUGAGUAUAUUUGUGUUGGUUUAGAAACACACCUGAAGCAACAUUAUGAACUUCCAAACCCAAAAAAUAAGUAAGAGUACCAAGAUAUAAAGAAUCUUUAAGCUGCUGUUGGAGGCUAGUGAUUAGUGAAGAAUCAGUUCCUAUGAUAAUAAUGUCAUCUAUGUACACCAAAAAAAGAACACAACCUGUAGAUGUUUUCCGAAGAAACAAAGAUGAGUCAUAUUUGCUCUGCUCAAAAGAAAAUUGCAGCAAAGUAGACCGGAGCUUAUCAAACCAAGCUUUUGGAGCUUGUUUUAAUCCAUACAAAGAUCGCUUCAACUUGCAUACAUCUGAUGUAGGCGAUGAGAACAAACCAGGUGGAAGUUUCAAAUAAAUAUCUUCUUUAAGAUCACCAUGGAGAAAAGAAUUUUUGACAUCCAUUUGAUAAAAAGACCAGAUUUGUGAAGCAGCAAUGGCAAUAAUAAUUCACACCGUAGUCACUUUGUCUACGGGUGCAAAAGUCUCCUAAUAGUCCACCCCAUACUCUUGUCUGUUACCAAAAACAACCAAUCGAGCUUUGUACCGAUCAAGAGUUCCAUCAGAAUGAAGUUUGAUUGAAUAAACCCAUUUACAUCCAAUAGGGCGGACAUUUGAAGGACAUGAAACAAUGUCCCAUUUUUCAUUUUCUUUAAGAGCCAAAAGUUCUUCCUCCAUUAUUUUCUGCCGACAUUCAUGCUUGGAAGCUUGCGAGUAACAACAUGGAAUAGAUAUGUUGGAUAAAGUAGAGAAAAAGACAUACCAAUUGGGAAUACAAGAUACUCUAUUAGAUCACUGAGUAGGCUCAAGAGGCCAAGAUCUUGAAGAAUUCUCAGAUUCUAGUUGUGGUACAAUUUAAAGCGGCGAAUUAGUGCUGGGAUAGGAUAAAGUUGGCCAACGUCGUUCAUAUACAAAUCCAGGUUUGAACCUCUUAAAAUAAGAUGAUAAAUCCUCAAAAGUAGGAAGAAUAGGAGAAGCAGAAGAUGAAUCUACAAUCAAAGGAAAGAAAUAUUGUUUCUCAAAGAAAACAACAUUUCUAGAAAUACCAAAUUUGUGAGAACAUGGAUCAUAGCAAAUAAAACAUUUUUGUGAAGUACUAUAACCCAUAAAAGCACAUUUAGUAGACUGUACAUAAAGUUUAUUGCAAUGCGAAGGAGGCAAAUGCACAAAACAAACACAACCAAAUGUAUGAAAAUCACAAUAGUUAGGAUUUUGGUGAUAAAGACGAAAAUACGGAGACUCAAGAUUUAGCACUUUAGAUGGAAAUCUAUUAAUUAAAUACACAGCAGUAGACAAAGCUUCCACCCAAUAUUUAGAUGGUACAUAAGACUCAAUCAAUAAAGUACUAGUGACAUCUAAAAGAUGGCGAUUUUUUCAUUCAGCAACUCCAUUUUGUUGUGGUGUAUAUGGGCAAGAGCGUUGUGAGACAAUUCCUUUGUCAAGCAAGAAUUUUUUGAAUUCAUAAGACACAUAUUCUCCACCAGAAUCAGAUCUUAAUAAUUUGAUGCAUGUAGAAAAUUGAGUCUCAAUGUAAGCCAAAAAUGUCUUGAACAUGGAAAAUACCUCAGAUUUGGAUCGAAGAAAAUACACCCAUGUAAACCGACUAUAAUCAUCUAUGAAUGUCACAAAGUAUUUGAAAUGAGCAUGAGAAAUAAUUGGUGAAAUGCCCCAAAAUCACUAUGAAUAACAUCAAAACACUUUGUAGCACGAUUACCAAAAUUAGGAAAAGGAAGAGUUUUACUUUUGCCUAAUUUACAAGUAGAACAAUCAAUGGAAGCAACUGAAAAUUUAUUUUUAUUUCCCAAUAAACCAGAUGGAAGCAAUUGAAAAUUGAUUUUUAUUUCCCAAUAAACCAGAAUUUGAUAAGUGAGACAACACAACAGAAUUUGGAUGUCCUAGACGCUUAUGCCAAACCUCAGUUUUACUAGCAGUAGAAGUACAAGCAAAAGAUAGAACAGGAGGAAUGGAAAAGUGUAUAGGAAACAAUCAUCCAACUUUAGGCCCCUUCGUGAUUAUUGUCUACUUUGUAGCACGACUACCAAAAUUAGGAAAAGGAUGAGUUUUAAUUUUGCUUAAUUUACAAGUAGAACAAUCAAUGGAAGCAACUGAAAAUUGAUUAUUACUUCCCAAUAAACCAGAAUUUGAUAAAUGAGACAACACCACAGAAUUUGGAUGUCCUAGACGCUUAUGCCAAACCUCAGUCUUACUAGUAGUAGAAAUACAGGCAAAAGAUAAAAUAGGAGGAAUGGAAAAGUGUAUAGGAAACAAUCAUCCAACUUUAGGCCCCUUCGUGAUUAUUGUCUCCGACACCUAAUCCUGCACAAGACAACCAUUACGAGAAAAAUUCACAUCACAAUUGUUCUCUACCAAUUACAAGUAGAACAAUCAAUGGAAGCAACUGAAAAUUGAUUAUUACUUCCCAAUAAACCAGAAUUUGAUAAAUGAGACAACACCACAGAAUUUGGAUGUCCUAGACGCUUAUGCCAAACCUCAGUCUUACUAGUAGUAGAAAUACAGGCAAAAGAUAAAAUAGGAGGAAUGGAAAAGUGUAUAGGAAACAAUCAUCCAACUUUAGGCCCCUUCGUGAUUAUUGUCUCCGACACCUAAUCCUGCACAAGACAACCAUUACGAGAAAAAUUCACAUCACAAUUGUUCUCUACCAAUUAUCCAACUGAAAUAAGACUAGUUGAGAGCUUUGGUGAAACAAAAACAUUCUUGAAAGUUGGAGUAAUAUCCCCAACCUUGGUAAUAGGUGAACUACUAUCAUUGGCAAUCUGUAUUUGUGAUGAAACUUGAUACUUACGAAUAUUUUUUAGGAUGCUCGUUGAGUUGGUCAUAUGAUUGGAAGCACCUGAAUCAACAAUCCAAAAAUUAGAUGUAACAUCAUUACCUUGUAAUCCCAAUGCUGAAAAGGCUGACACGGUCAUUUUUUUUACCACUUCAGGAGUUAGAACUUGUCCUGAAUAUAUGAGUUAUCAUUAGUGGAACCAUUUAUCCCAACUUGAAAAGCAUUGAUCCUACGAUUUUGUGGGCGCGUGGGACACUCUUUGAUAAUGGGUCCUUGUUAUUUACAAUAAUUACAGAACUUCUUGCUACAAUUGCUAGCAAUAUGACCAUAUUCCUCGCAACUGUAUCAUUGAGUUCUACUCAUAUCCCUGCCCUUUCCUUUACCUUGAGCAGCAAAUGCAACAAUGACAUCAUUUUCUUUCUUGAAAGCAUUUUGUGUGACAAGACAUUGCUCUUCACGAAGUAAUUCCCUAAAGCAAACAUCCAAAGAGGGAGACGGGUCACGAUUCAUCAAGUUAGAGCGAACACUCUCAAAGUCGGAGCGUAAUUUCAUCAAAAAUUGGUCUCGCUUGCUUUGCUCAUGAACUGCGUAAAUCACUGAUAGAAAUUCAGUAGGUAUUUUGGCAUAGAAAAUAUCUGUAAAUUCAGCCCAUAAGUUCUGAAAUCUAGAAAAAUAAUCCUGAACAGAAAAACCUCCUUGAGAGUAAUUAGCAAUUUCAUACUCUAACUGAAACCGUCUUGCGCUAUUAUCUUGGUUGUAAACAUUUUGUAAGUAAUCCUAGAUGGCCAUAACUGUCUUGUACGACCUGAGAUUAAGAACAAUAAGAGGAUCAACUGACCCUAGAAUCCAUGUCAUCACCCGAGCAUCUUUAAUCUUCCAUUCACCUAGCUUUGUUGCAUCAAUAGGAGCAGGAUCGCUUCCAUCUAUAUGGCCCCAUAGUUCUUUGCCGGUGACAAACAAUUGAAACUAAAAAUCCCAAGAAGAAUAUUUUUUUCCAGAGAAACGAACACUGAAGGAUUCAAAGUGAUGUGAAUUCAUGCUUUUGAAUAGCUAUGAAAACUACAAAGACUCAAGAGAGCAACUAGAAUGACCAAGAACAAAAUUCGAACAGUCAACCAAAAACCAAGAUUUAAGAAAAAAAUAGAAGGAACCACAGAUGACUCUAUGAAACAAGACAGCCAAGAGAAGGCUCAUAUACCAUGUCAAUUUUCUGUUGAAUUUCUCUCAAAGUGAGAGAGUCUUUCCAUUAUAUAGAGAAAAUAAAGAUUACACAUCCCUAAAGAUCCACCAUUCCUAUCCCUAAAGAUCAGCUAUUCUAUCUCUACAAAUCUGCUAUUGAAUCCCAAUAAAUCUGCCUUGCUAUCCCUCCAAAUCAAAUGUAUAUGAUCAUGCUAAUUUAUAUCACUAUAUAAUUACAUUAAUAUAUACAAUCAUUUAGUUGUCUAUCAUGCUAACACCUUCAACCAGAAGGUGGUGUGUAUGGGGAGUUUGUCUUUCUUAGCCGAGGAGGAGAGACCUUUUGCUUCGAAUGCCCAAUCCCUAUCCAAUCGGAUGAUUCAGCUUGAUAUUUUUGAGUUUGGCAAGAUGAUUGCGUAUGUAGAGGUUUUUUCUUCUUUGAUGGAGAAGAUUCGGGAACAAUAGUUUAAGGACUUGAGGUUGAGGGUGAUUCGAGAUAGGGUUCUUAGUUGUGAGGCUAAGAAGUCAGCCUUUGAUCCAUAGGGUGUUUUGAGGAUCGAGGGAGGAAGGGGGGUCAUAUCUAUAUUCCUAGGGUUAUAGAUUUGGUUUGGUUUAUUCUGUAGGAGUCCCACUGUUCUAGAUACUAUUUUCAUCCCGGUACAAUGAAGAUGUAUUGUGAUCUGAUGCAUCACUAUUGGUGGUGUGGGAUUAAGAGGGACAUUCUGACAUUUGUGACUAGAUGUUUAAACUGUCAGCUGGUGAAAUGACCAAUAGAGGACAAGUGGUUUGACCCAACAGUUAUCCAUUCUGGAGUGGAAGUGGAAGCCGGCAGCUAUGGACUUUAUGGUAGUGUUUACGCAUAGUUUUUGGAGAUUUAAUGCUAUUUGGUUCACGUAGAUCAACUGACCAAGUCUUCUCACUUUUUGCCGAUUCAGGCUACCUAUAGUUUAUAGAGAUUAGCUCAGAUUUACAUUCGAGAGAACUUUCGUUUGCAUGGGUACCGGUAUCUAUCAUUUUAGAUCAUGGCACUCAGUUCAAUUCAUGUUUUUGGAGGUCUUUUUAGAGGCAAUUUAGUACUAGAAUUAAGCUUAACACAAAUUUCCAUCCAAAGACUAAAGGUCAGUUUAAGAGGACUAUUCAGGUCUUGAAGGACAUGUUUUGGGCCUCUGUUAUUGAUUGUAGAGGUUAGUGGGACCAGUUCUUGGCUUUGGAGGAGUUCACUUAUAGUAACAUCUACCAUUUGAGUAUUCAGAUGGAUCCAUUUUAAGAGUUUAAUGGUAGGAGAUGUCGAUCUUUGGAAGGCUGGUUUGAUGAUUUUGAAGUUAGGUCAUGGGGAACCGACUUGUUGCAUGAAUUUAUGGGUAGUGUUCAUGUGAUUCAGGAGCGACUCUACCCUACCCAAAGUCAGAAGAAGAGCUAUGUCCAUCAAAUAGUUUAUUGGUGACCAAGUAUUUCUACAAGUGUUGUCCAUGGUGCGAUGAGAUUUGGGAGGAAGGGCAAGAUUAGACAUAGGUUUAUUGGCCCUUUUAUGAUUCUGAGAUUGAUUGGAGAGAUUUCUUAUGAGUUAUCCUUACCCCCAUCUCUUUUGGAUGUUAACCUUGUGUUUUAUAUCUCUAUGUUAAGAUGGUAUGUUCCUGAUGAGUUUCACAUGCUUUAGUUGGAUACUUUUCAGCUUGAUGAGUCAUUGGAAUUUUAAGAGGAUCAUGUGGCUAUUUUAGAGAGGCAAGUUAGGAAGUUUAGGACUAAGGAAAUCCUGUCGGUGAAGGUUCAGUGAAGGCAUCAUCUGGUCGAGAAGUUUACAUAGGAGGUCGAGCUUGACAUGAGGACCUGAUAUCCUCAUCUUUUCGAGCCUUGAAGUACUUUCUUCUCUUUUACUUUUGAGGAGGAAAGUCAUUUUAAGAGUGGAUAUUGUAAUGACUGUCACUCCCCGAGCUACCCCCGAGACGCGGACACAGGACCUAGGAUCACAAGUGACCCCAAGCUAACCCUGCAGGCAUGACAUGAGCAUACUAGGAAUAAUAAUAACUGAUGCGGAAGCUAAAUCAUGAUAAUUAAAGUAAUGGGGAAUACCCAUAUACUAAAACAGAAUAUAUCAAAUCUGAGAGUUACAUACAAAAGAAACAUCAAACUCAAAUACAAAGCUGAAUCUAAACAUGUCUGAAUAUAGCAUCUAGCUGACUAGAAGUGCUGGGACAUGCCCCAGCUAAGUCUAGCAAAAAUGUAACUACAGGACUAAAAUAGUGAAAUGAUAACAUGACUAUUGUCCUCGAAGAAUGAGGACUAACCACUGAUACUGCUGAACUAGAGAUCGGGAACCGAUCUAAGCGUGAUCUGGAUGCUAAGAACCUGGACCUACCUCACGAGAAGAUGUAGCGCAGAGUAUGAGUAAGUACUUGAAAGGUACUGAGCAUGCAGGAUAGAGUAAAGUUGAAAUAAAUAUGUAACUGAAUUAGAAAUAAAUCAAGAGCAUAGCUGAACAUGAUAUAGAUACUGAAUACUGAGCUAACUAAAUGCAACGACCGCUUUCUAAUAUACUGCUGCUGAAUACUAACUAUACUGAAAUGUGGUCAAUGCAAUAGAGUCUGGCUGGACUGUAGGAGCUACUAAUAAUCGAUAAUAAAACAACAUGAGCUAAAUGUGGAGUCUGAUGUAUACGUCCCCAUCAAGGAGGACCCAAUAUACCCGGCAAAAGGUAUAAAGGCAUGCUAGCGUGAUCACUAAAAUGAUUCCCACAGAGGGGACUUACAACCUACGUGGCUCGUAGUUCUGGGACUAUAUGGGUGACUGACCCUAGUCCAACUCGGUAUUAAGCUACUCCCAAUGGAUUAAGUGAUUAACACAUUAUGACUGAUUUUUUGUGAAAUACUAGAUAGCUCAAAAUGACAUGCAAACUGAGAAUGCACAUUCAUAAACUGAUAAUGACACAUUCAAAACUGAGGCAUGUAUAUCUGAAAUAACUGAAAUAUCUGGCCUAGCAUGUGUAAUUCAAAAACUAAAGAACUACAUAGCUAGGGUUCUGAAAUUCAUGCAAUAAACAAAGUAAUAACAUGCUAAUCUGAUUUGGAACAUGUAAUUAACUAAUUCAUGAUAAUUUGCUGAAGUUUUAGAAACCUUAAGUCUAGUUGAUAAUCGGGAAUCAAGAAACUGACGGAAAUCUAGGGAUCUAAUGGGCGAAAGGAAUCCACUUGUGGAAUCCCACAUACCUGGUGAUGAAUUCCAUGGAGAAAUCUUUCGAUUUCGGGGGUAGAAUUGAUGGAAUCUUGUUGCGUUCUUGAACUAGGGUUGGUCGAUCUCUUGCCUCUUUUCACGUUCUAAUUUCUAAGGUUUUGAUAAAUGAUCUGAGUUGGGUAAGUUCUAGUUAUGUUUCUAGGCUAAAACUAAUAAAAACCACGUAGUUUAGGGUUAAAACGACGUAGUUUAGGGGUCCAAUGAAAUAGGAAAAGACCAAAAGACCCCUGACUUAAAGUUGCAGACGGGCUAAUCACGACCGUGAAAGAGACCACGGACCGUGAAGGCCCUCGUGGUCUUCACUUGGUCCUGUAGUUCUGAAGUCUAGGUCCACGAGCCACUACCACGACCCGUGUAGAAGAUCACUGACCGUGAAGGUCCUCGUGGUCCUCACUUGGGCUGAGGUCUGGAGGCUCAGGGCUAGGGGUUUAUUGGCUAGCCUUCACGGACCCUUCCACGGUCCGUGUGGAGGACCACGGACCGUAAAGGUCCUCGUGGUCCUCACUUAGGCUUGAGGGUUUGAGGGCUAGUCUAGGGAGGCUACUACCUCAAUCUUUAGGGACGCCACCAUGGUCUGUUGUCAAGACCACGGCCCGUGAAGGUGCCCGUGGUCUGAUGUUUGGACCUGGUGAAGUCCACGUCAGGAGCACGAGUAGUUCAACAUACCGUGGACCCUAUCACGGUCCAUGAACCCUGCCGUGGUUCACUGGUUCAGGUAAGUUCUGCAAAACAAUUCUGGGUCUAGUUUUCGAGGUGUUACAAUAUCUCCCCCUUGGGAUCAUGCAUCCUCGAAUGAAAACUAAACUAGCUGAAAUGGAAGGAAUGAGCUGCAACCCUACAAAAAUAAACAUUGAAGACUGAUUUUUUACUGAGCUAAGUUCCAAAAAAACAUGCAAAUACGCUGAAAAUGCAAGAACAAAUUGAAGGAACAUGAUACUAAGACUAAUUUCACGCAUGAAUGACUGAAAAACUGAAGAGGAUCUAUUACCUCAAGCUGGAGUGGAAUCGGAAGGAAAGAGGUGAGGAAACUUGGCUUUCAUAGCUGCUUCUCCUUCCCAAGUAGCUCCCUCUACGGACUGACUCCUCCACCAAACCUUGACUGAAGCGACUUCUUUGUUUCUCAACCUCCUAACAUGACAAUCAAGAAUCUCAACUAGUACAUCUUCAUAAGAAAUGCUAUCUUUCACAGCCACACUCUAUAAUGGCACUAUGGAAGCUGGAUCACCCACACGCUUCUUCAAUAGUGAAAUAUGAAAGACUGGAUGCACUACUGCUAAAUCUGCUGGCAACUCUAACUAAUAAGACACUUUACGAAUCCUUUUUAAGAUCCAGUAAGGGCCUACAUAUCUGGGACUGAGCUUCCCUUUCUUGCCAAAUCUCAUCACCCCUUUCAUAGGUGACACUUUCAGGAAAACCCAAAUAUCAACUUGGAACUCUAGUUCCCUUCUCCUUACAUAUGCAUAAGACUUCUGGCGACUCUAGGUUUUCUUAAGUCUAUCUCUAAUGAUUUGAACUUUCUCUAUAGCAUAAUGGACUGAAUCUGGCCCUAUCAAGGCUGUUUCACCUACUUCAAACUAACCAACAGGAGAUCUGCAUCUACGCCCAUACAAUGCCUCAAAAGGUAAGGUUAACCUGAGUACCAAGACCUUUCUUAAAUGACUUCCAGAAAUGAGAGGUAAACUGAGGACCUCUAUCUGAGAUGAUAGACAAAGGAACCCCAUGCAACCUGACUAUCUCAUUAAUGUAAAGCUUGGCAUAGUCCUCCGCCGAAUCUAUAGUCUUAACCACCAAAAAGUGAGAAGACUUAGUAACUCUGUCAACUAUCACCCAAAUGGAGUCAUGUUGUCUGCGAGUACGAGGUAAACCUGUGAUGAAGUCUAUGUUGAUCACUUCCCACUUCCAAGUAGGAAUGUCAAUCUCUUGAGUCAUACCUCCUGGUCUCUGAUGUUCUACCUUGACUUGCUGGAAAUUGGGGAACUUAGCCACAAAAUCCGCUAUAUCUCUUUUCAUACCAUUCCACCAAUAAACAUCCCACAGAUCACGGUACAUCUUAGUGGCGCCUGGGUGAAUAGAGUAUCUGGAGUUAUGGGCUUCUGGAAGAAUCUUUUGUCUCAACUCAUCCACCUUAGGAACACAUAAUCGAUCCUGAUAGUGACGUACACCAUCUCCCCCUUGGGAGAAAACCUCCACUCUCUGCUAAUGGAUUGCUCCCUUUAGCUCAAGCAGUAUCGGAUCACUGUCUUUUUUUCCUUCACUUCCACUACCAAAGAAGAUUCUGCCCCAUUCUGUACCGUUACACCACCAUCUGAUAUGCUCAUAAGACUAACUCCUAAGUGAGCAAGUCUGUGAACAUCCUUUUCUAGCUCUUUUCUUUCUUCCUCAACAUGUACUACACUACCCAUAGAUAAUCUGGUAAGAGCAUCUACUACUACAUUGGCUUUACUAGGAUGGUAAUGCACACUCAUAUCAUAAUCUAUGAGGAACUCUAGCCAUCUUAUAUGGAGAAGAUUCAACUCUUCCUGGGUGAACACAUACUGAAGGCUCUUAUGGUCUGCGUACAUGUCUACAUGAACAUCAUACAAGUAGUGUCUCCAAAUCUUGAGUGCAAACACCACUGCUGCAAGCUCGAGGUCAUGAGUUGGAUGGUUAUUCUCAUGCACCUUAAGCUGUCUAGAAGCAUAAGCUAUAACCUUACCCCGCUGCAUCAGCACACAACCUAGGCCGAUUCUGGAAGCAUCACAAUAUAUAACAUAGUCGUCUGAAUCCUCUAGUAGAGUCAAAACAAGAGUUGUAGUCAACCUAGUUUUCAAUUCUGCGAAGCUUUUCUCAUAAUCAUCUGACCACUGAUACUUGACCUUUUUCUGAGUCAACUUAGUCAAUGGAGAGGCUAUGGAUGAAAAUCCUUCCACGAACCUUCUGUAAUACCCCUCUAGACCAAAAAAACUUCUGAUAUCUUUUAGAGAGGUAGGUCUGGGCCAUUCUUUCACUGCCUCUAUUUUUUGGGAAUGUACUCGAAUUCCUUCACUAGACACUAUAUGCCCAAGAAAAGCAACUGACUGCAACCAAAACUCGCACUUAUUAAAUUUGGCGAAUAAUUGGCGAUCUUUGAGAGUUUGCAAAACAACUCUCAAAUGACUCGCAUGUUCUUCCUCAUUCCUAGAGUAAAUGAGGAUAUCAUCAAUAAAGACGAUAACGAACAAGUCUAAGUACUGCUUAAACACUCUGUUCAUCAAAUCCAUAAAAGUUGCAGGAGCAUUGGUUAGUCCAAAUGACAUAACUACAAAUUCAUAAUGACCAUACCGAGUUCUGAAAGCUGUCUUUGGAAUGUCACUAUCUCUGACUUUGAGCUGAUGAUAACCCGAUCUGAGGUCUAUGUUUGAGAAAUGACUAGUAACCUGAAGUUGGUCAAACAAGUCAUCGAUCCAAGGGAUGGGAUAUUUAUUCUUGAUAGUGACCUAGUUCAACUGCCUAUAGUCAAUGCACAUUCUGAGAGAACCAUUUUUUUCUUUACGAACAACACUGGUGCACCCCAUGGCAAAAUACUAGGUCUGAUGAAGCCCUUAUCUAGAAGGUUUUUCAAAUGCUCUUUCAAUUCCCUAAGCUCAGGUGGAGCCAUCCUAUAUAGAGGAAUAGAAAUAGGUUGGGUAUCUGAAAGGAGAUCAAUUCCACAGUCAAUUUCCCUAUCGGGAGGAACUCCAGGAAGAUCUUCUGGAAACACUUCUGGAAACUCAUUAACCAAUAGAACUGACUCAAGAGUUGGGAUUUCGGAGCUUGAAUCCUUAACCUGAACUAGAUGAUAGAGAUAACCCUUAGAGAUCAUCUUUCUGGCCUUAAGGUAAGAAAUGAAUCGACCCAUUGGCGCUAAGCUACUACCCUUCCAUUCUAAGAUUGGUUCGUCUAGAAACUGAAAACGUACAAUCCUAGUUCUACAAUCGACUGAGGCAUAACAGGAAUGUAACCAAUCCAUUCCUAGAAUGACAUCGAAGUCUACCAUUUCUAACUCUACAAGAUUUGCUGAGGUGACUUUAUGAGAGACUAAGAUAGGGCAAUUUAUGUAUACCCGUCUAGUUAUAAUUGUGUCACCGAUUGGAGUAGAGACUGAUAAAGGUUCUGAGAGAGUUUCUAGACUAACAUCAAACUUAACUGUUAUGUAAGGAGUAAUAAAGGAAAGAGUAGACCCUGGAUCUAACAAAGCAUAAACAUCGAGAUCAAAGACUCGUAACGUACUAGUGACUACAUCAGAAGAAUAUUCCUGCUCCUGGCGAGCCUGAGAGCAUAGAGCCUAUUUUGGCAUUGUCCGCCACCUGUACCAGAAGAGUUACCCUGCUGAGUCGGGCGACUUGCUGGUGGUGCUGAAGUUGUAGACUGGGCUCGAUUAGCAUUGCCUCAUUGACUCGGUUUAGAAGGACAAUCCCUCAACCUGUGACCAAACUGACCACACCUAAAAUAUCCUUCAUUUUGGCAUUCGCCCGAAUGGUUCUUACCACACUUAGGGAAAAUUGGGUAGAGCCUGAUGCCCUACCUUUCUGAUCAUUAUGAAACCUGGAGGACGAAACUCUAGCUAACAAAGGUGCUGGAGUUGAAAUUUUUAUGCUGACCUUGCGAGCGAUUUCCACCACCCAUUUUCUGUUGAGAAUAGUCAUAGUUCCCAGUUCUAGCCUUUUUGUUCUCCUUGGCCUGUUCCUUAAGCUUAUCACCCUCAACCUGCUGAGCAUGAGUCAUAAGCCUAGAAAGGCUCAUAUCUCCCAGCAACAUAGCAUUCCUACAUUCUGUUUUCACUAAGUCUGACACUCCAUAAAGUAACUUGUUCAUUUGGGCCCUGGAAUCAGCCACCAGGUGAGGGGCAUACCUGGAGAGUUGUGUAAACUUGAGCCCAUACUCUUGGACUGUCAUUCUACCUUGCCUUAAGUUCAUAAAUUCCUGAGCUUUCGCCUCCCUUAGCUCCCUUGGGAAAAACCGGUCCAGAAAGGUUUCACUAAAGCAAUCCCAAGAGAUAGGAGCUACAUUUGUACCCCUGUUCUCCUUCCACUGAGUAUACCUGAUAAGAGCUACAUUCUUAAGUUGGUAAGAUGCUAACUCAACCCGAUCAUUCCCAGUUACCUACAUCACUUCAAAGAUCUUCUUGACCUAAUCAAUGAAGUUUUGGGGAUCUUCUCCAACCUGCGAUCCUAAGAACUCUAGCAGAUUCAUCCUAACAAAGUCUCGCACUCUGGCUGCAACUGACUUAACAUUAGCAUUUUCUGGAACUGGAGCCCACUGGUUUUUCUGGUUGGCCACACUCUGAGACAACAUCUGAAUGGUGUUCCUGAACUCUACAUUCGAGACUUCUUGAUCUAGGACUGGAGGGGCAGCGAUUGUGUUCUGGGCAUUCGCAUUCCUGGCGUUAGCUCUACGAGCAUACAUGAUCACUGAAAUGUAGAAUGUCGAGUUAGAAUGGAAUUAGAUCAUACCUUACGCACGAUAAGAGUAAGAAGAAAAUGAAGAUUUUUCCUAAAACACCUUGUAGCCUCCCUCUCAUUAGAUGUGGUGCACUUCACACCUAUGAAAAUAACUCUACUUAGUGCGCCUUCUCAGACAUCCUAGGAAUUUUAAACCUAGUGCUCUGACACCAAGUUUGUCAGGCCCCGAGCUACCCCUGAAACGCUAACACGAGACCUAGGAUCACAAGUGACCCCAAGCUAACCCUGCUGGCAUGACAAGAGCAUACUAAGAAUAAUAAUAACUGAUGCAGAAGCUAAAUCAUGAAAAUGAAAGUAAUGGGGAAUACCCAUAUACUAAAACUGUAUAUAUCAAAUCUGAGAUUUUAAUACAAAAGAAACAUCAAACUCAAAUACUAAGCAGAAUCUAACUAUGUUUGAAAAUAGCCUCUAACUGACUAAAAGUGUUGGGACAUGCCCUAUCUAAGUCUAGCAAAACUGGAACUAAAAGACUAAAAUACUGAAAUGAUUACAUGACUAUUGUCUUCGAGGAAUGAGGACUCACCACUUAUAUUGCUAAACUGGAGAUAGAGAACCGGUCUAAGCGUGAUCUGGAUGCUGAGAACCUGGACCUACAUCACGAGAAGAUGUAGCACAGAGUAUGCGUCAGUACUUUAAAGGUACUGAGCAUGCAGGAAAGAGUAAAGUUGAAAUAAAUAUAUAACUGAACAAGCAAUAAAGCAAGAGCAUAAUCUGAGCAUGAUAUAGGUACAGAAUAUUGAACUAACUAAAUGUAAUUACCACUUUCUAACAUGAUGAUCCUGAAUACUGACUAUACAGAAAUGUGAUCAAUGCAAUAGAGUCUGACUGAACUAUAGGAGCUACUAAUAACCAUUAAUAAAACCACAUGAGCUAAAUGUGGAGUCCGAUGUAUACGUCUCAUUGAGAGGACCCAAUAUACCCGGCCAAAGGUAUAGAGGCAUGCUGGCUUGAUCACUAAAAUGAUGACCACAAAGGGGACUUACAACCUACAUGGCUCGUAGUUCUGGGACUAUAUGGGUGACUGCCCCUAGUCCAACUCGGUAUUAGGCUACUCCCAAUGGAUUAAGUGAUUAACACAUUAUGACUGUAAUUUCUGUGAUAUAAUGGAUAGCUCAAAAUGACAUGCAAACUGAGAAUGCACAUUAAUAAACUUAGAAUGACACAUUCAAAAUUGAGGCAUGUAUAUCUUAAAUAACUGAAAUAUCUGGCCUAGCAUGUGUAAUUCAAGAACUAAAGAACCACAUAGCUAGGGUUCUGAAAUUCAUGCAAUAAACAAAGUAAUAACAUGCUAAUCUGAUUUGGAACAUGUAAUUAACUAAUUCAUGAUAAUCUGCUGAAGUUCUAGAAACCCUAGGUCUAGUUGAUAAUAAGGAAUCAAGAAACUGACUGAAAUUAAGGGAUCUAAUGGGCGAAAGGAACCCACUAGUGAAAUCCCACAUACCUGGUGAUGAAUUCCAUGGAGAAAUCUUUCGAUUUCGGGGCUGGAAUUGAUGGAAUCUUGUUACGUUCUUGAACUAAGGUUGCUCGACCUCUUGCCUCUUUUCAGGUUCUAAUUUCUAAGAAUUUGAUGAAAGAUCUGACUUGGGUAAGUUCUAGUUAUAUUUCUAGGCUAAAACUAAUCAAAACCACGUAGUUUAGGGGUCCAACGAAAUAGGAAAAGACCAAAAGACCCCUGAUUUAAAGCUGCAGACGGGCUGACCACGACCUCUUUCACUGAUUGUGAAAGGGACCACGGACCGUGAAGGCCCUCAUGGUCUUCACUUGGUCAUGUGGUUCUGAAGGCUAGGUCCACGAGCCACUACCACGGCCUGUGUGGAGGACCACAGGCCGUGAAGGUCCCCGUGGUCCUCACUUGGGCUGAGGUCUGGAGGCUCAAGGCUAGGGUUUAUAAAUGUCCUUCACGAACCCUUCCACUGGCCGUGUGGAAGACCACGUACCUUAAAGGUUCUCGUGGUCCUCACUUAGGCUUGAGGGUCUGAGGGCUGGUCUAGGGAGGCUACUGCCUAACUCUUCACGAACGCCACCACGGUCCGUUGUCAAGACCACAGCCCGUGAAGGUACCCGUUGUCUGAUGUCUGGACCUGGUGAAGUCAAAGUCAGGAUCACGGGCAGUUCAAUGGACCGUGGAUCCUAUCACGUUCCAUGAACCGUGCCGUGGUUCACUGGUUCAGGUAAGUUCUACAAAAAAAAUCUAGGUCUUGUUUUCGAGGUGUUAGAGACACUAAUGGUAAUUUGCAUGUUUUUGUGUGAAUUUAUCUUUUUUCCCCUUCCCAUACCUUUUGUGUAGUGUUUGUGGUGUGUUGGGAUGGAUUGCACACUUUUCGAGGUGAGGGGGAGAGAAUCGUGUGAGUUUUUCCCUUUUGGUAGUUUUUAAGUUGAAAGAGUUGAGUUUGGUAAACAUUUGGAGAAUCUGAUGUCGUAUGAUAUUUUCGUCAUUUCAAUUAGUUCCAAAAGAUCCAUUUUGGGCUAGUAGCAGGGUUGGUUCGGGUCUUGGGGCCUUCAGCGUAAGUUUGAGCUAUUAGGCAAGAUGUUUUUGAAAGUUUGGUUAAUAUUUGACUUGGGUUAAUGAGAAUUCCAUUGGAAUGGUUAGCUUUAGAAUUAAGAGAUUAGUCUAGAACGAACUUUUGUUCGGAUCCCAAGGUGCUCUAGUUGAUUUUGCGACAAUUUUGCAUUUUUUGGUUACUUUGUGUAAGUGUUGACUUGGGUAAAUAUUUUAAUGAGACGACCUCCAUUGGUUGUUUCGUCAAUUUUGUUGAGUUUGUAAUAUCAAUUUUGUGGGAUAGCAUAGUUUGUUUGUGUUCAAAAGGUUCUAAACGAAUCUUGAUCCCCCACCAGUGCAUUCUCUUAACCUUAAGUGCAGUUGAUGUAGUAUUUGUUGGUGCAUUGUGCACUACACUCCACUUUCGUGAGCCACGUCCCGCAUACGCGUAGACCAAAAAUAUUGGAAGUUCUAAAUAUAUUAUCCCCGUUUUCAGCUUAUAUUUUCUGCAACCACUCUUGAAUCCUUCUUUGAAAGCACUAAAACAAAUGUAGAAUCUCUAAAUUCCAUUAGGCUUGCUGAUAUCCUCAUUUUCAAUCAACUUCAAAGAAACUAAAGUAUUUGAAUUUGUCCUUACGAUUUCAUUAAAAUAAUUCCACAAUAACUUGAUUUUAAGACAUCAAGAUAUCCUCUAGCUAUGAACAAAGACGUUUGAUUUUAUUAAUGUGGUUCAAUUUUUAUAGUUGUGGAUAAGAUUAUAUGUCUGUACUUGAAAAACACUAUCUUUGAAUAUUUUAGAAUUUAUAAUAUCUCUGUCACAAUCUGAAUUUAUAGGACAAACUGCUUGUAUCAUUUACUUAUCAUUCUUGCGCCAUUUUUUAUACCUUCCUUGAUCGACUUCGUGAAUUUUCACAACAUUCUUGAACUCAUUUACUUAUUUGUCUUUGGAUUGAACUCAAGAAAGUUCUUACUAUCUGAAUUAGGAUUACUUUUUAAGCUCUUGAAAGCUUUAGAGUAAUCACAAUCAGAAUCUGCUUCUUUACGUGCCAUUUAUUUUCGCACUUCAUCGCUAACUUCAUAUCCAUGUGCUCCAUUUUUACUCCUUCAUAAAAUAGCGUGUUCUUAUGACAAAUCAUUACCCAAGUCUUCAAAAUUGCCACCACUUGAACAAUAUUCAGUCCUUCCCGCUUUAUCCUUACCUCCAGCAAAUUGUUGAUGUUCAAUUGAACUAUUGCAAUUUUGUCCUUGAUUGAAGGUUUUCCUAACAUCCAUUCCGAUAUAAGAGUAAUGUUCAAAGUAAACCUCAAUUCCAAUAUAAGAGUAAUGUUCAAAAUAAUGUCUUAAAUGUUAGUGCUUCAUAACACCAUUGUAGAUUACUUUGAAGUUGGUUUUAAGGCAUCAUGUAUAGAAUUUGUGGAAGAAUUAAAAAAGAAGAAGAAUCAAUUAUUAUCUUUUUUUUACAACAGAGCCUCCCAGAAUUGAAAACUUGAACUCUAAAAAACUCACAAAAGAGAGGAGUUGUACCACCUAAUGUUUGUAAAAUCAUUAUCUUGAGCUUUAAACAUGGAGUAAAUUGAUGAUAUUUUAUCUAGUUUUCUUAAUAUAGUGGCAAUGGGGGGAAACAACCCCCAAAUGGGCCCUGCAGCAUGCAAUUCGGAUUUAGUCAAAGCCCCAAUGUGGGCUCCGAACACCGGUGGGAAACCUAAAAAAAACAAAUGGGAGAAAAAAGUCAGGAAAGAGAGAAGAAUUUAGCAUGAAAUGAAACCCACAGUGUUCCUCACGUUGUCUGUAGAAACAUAGACAAAGAUCAAACUAGAUCAUGUUUUAAAUACUUAAUGAUUAAAAUCGAAUAUGGAGACUAGUUAGAUAAGAUUAAAGUCUCUUAGAAUGUGUGUAAACAUGAGUGAUUGUAUGAGUGAAAGAUGAGACUGAUGAGAUACAGAGGCUAUAUAUUAUACACAUUAGAUACAAUCAAAAAUUAGAUCUCCAUUCUUCAGCUCCAUAAAUAGUUUCAUUUCUAUCUCAUUUUGAAUCUCCAACAGAGUUGAAUUUCCGUCAGCAGUAAAUCUAACAUCUCUCUUUUUUCUAGAUUCAUCGUUUUCAAAUUUUUUUGAAAUAAAAUCAACCAAAUCAUUAUAAGUAGUGUAAUCCUUGAGAAGAAUAUCAUCAAUUUUAUAACCAUCGUAUAUAAUUUAAAAAAUCAAGUUUCAGAAUGUCUCACCCACACAAUGAUAUGUCAUUGUCAAUCUCAGAUAUAGUGAUUUCGAAAAAUUGAACAAUACACUAUUUAAAAUGGAAUAUGAAUUAAAUAGAAGAAACGGAAUAAAAUCUUAGUGACGAACAAGGAGAGAAUUUGAAUUGUUUUGAUAUGUUAACUUUAGCUUAGGAAACUCCAUAUCCUCAAAAGUUGUUACAAUCGUGAAUUACUUUUGUGAUUAAAUUAUGUUCCUUUUAUUAACUACCCAAAAUAUGUAUACUCUUAACCCGCGUAUAUCAAUAAUACAUGUAUUUUCUCCGUCAGAUACAUAUUCGAAACAAAACUCUGACAGAAAUUGUAAUUUGAAAAAUUGUUUUUUCAAUAUGUAAUUAGGAUCAAUAAUAGAGUGUUUUACUUUGUUUUCAUCUGGCCCCUGAUGAGACCACAAAUUGGACUCAUUUAGGGCUUUAUUUUAAUAGAAAUAGUGUCCUCGAAUGCUUGUUUUAUCUCAAUACCUGAUUAAAAUGCUUAAGUUUCAGGUAUUUGAAGUUUUACUGGAAGCAUGGACACUUAGGUGCAAAACGGAGCAAAAAGGGCUGAAAAGAACAAGAAAUGAAAGUCUGCGGAUCGCCGAGUCCAACUUGGCGAGUCACCGAAUUAACAUGCACCGCCCUUUGUUCCAGUACGCGAAGCCUUGAAGGAAGUGGAUCAAAAUGCGAGGAAAGGAGCAAUCGACGAGUCGCCGAUUAGUUCUGCGAAGCAGUACUGUACUGCCCAAUGAUCCAGAAUAUGAGGAUGUUGAAGGCAAGACACUGAAGGCGAUGAGCUGAUUAAAGGGCGGAUCGCCGAGUUCAUUGGCAAUCUCGACUAAUGUCGCCGAACGAUCCUCCGCAGCACAAUCUGUGAAAACUAUAAAUACUAGUUAGAGUUGUAAUCUUUUGGGGAACAAUUUUUUAGAGUAAAAAUUAUUAUUAGUCUAUAGUAUUUUUUCUCUCAAGUUUGGAGAGGGUUUUUUGGAGACUUGAAGAAAGGAGUUCAUCUUCCCCAAGUUGGAAGUGGAUCUUCUUUAUUCUUCUUUCGUAGCUUAAUUCAAGGUUUAAUUUCUUAUACCCAGUUGAUUUCUUUAUCAUGUUAGGUAUAAUUUCUAAUUUUUUGAUGUGUGGCUAAAAAACCCCAUUCUUGGGGUAUGAUUUAGCAAAUAUGGGUUGAUAUUCUUGUUGGGUCUUGCUUGCUGAUAGGUUAAAUGUAUUUUAAUGGUGAUUUCACAUAGUGGUUGUGGUUUAAUCUAAAGGGUUUGUAGUUGCAAAUACAAAGCCACCCACCCAUAUGUUUUCGACUUGCCCGAGAGGGAGGUCAUAAAACCAAAACCACUAGAUUUAUAGCCUAAGGAGUGGGACGACAUAAGGUUCAGCCCGAGAGGGUGAGCCCUAGUCUCAUAUCCUAACACUCAGCUCGAGAGAGUGAGUGGGGUAAGGCGUAGGCUGGUCUUCAUACGGUAAAUGGGUGUUCGAGAGGAACGCAUUUGCAACGGGGUAAGUUGCCUGAGAGGGAACUUAUUUCCAUUUAAAGCUUAGCCUAGUCACUAUUGUCUUGCAAAUUUCCUAUUGAAAGCAUGUACCCAACGAUUUAUCUCAACUUGUAUUGCGGUCACAUCCCAAGAACCUUCCCCAUACUUGAUUUUCUUGUUUAUUUUGUUGUUUUAUCACUUGUUACAAAACCCCUUUUGAUAUUUGACACUUCUGUGUCACCCCCCUUUAAAUUUACCAAUGUAUUUUAUCGCAAAUGUUUUUAACUACGACUAAUUCAACGAAAUUCUAAUUAGCUACUGAUUCUCAAAACCGCUCCCUUGGUACACGACCCCAACCCUUGGUUGGGUUACAAUUUUAUCAACGAUCGUAGACACUCAUAUCGUAGGAUAGUGUCGUUGGUCACGAUAAGCAUCAGCCCCACAUAAGUACCAUAUAUCAUUUGUGUAACUUAAAAUCAAAUUAAUAACAAAAACUUGCACAAAAAUAUGUAGACUUUAUGUUUCUCAUUAAAAGACAUCAAAUAUAAGUAGAGUUGAGUUGAAAAAUCUUACCUCAACCCUAUCCCAAUAAUGAGUUGGGUUGGGCCAACAUCAUUGACCAAGCCCAUUUUUAUGGCACUAAAUCUUUUUGUGACGCGUCUCUCUGAAGCUUGACCUACAAAUUUUCAUUUCCUCUAACUUGUUACUAUUCACUGCUAAAGUUCCUCACUGAUUCCUUCUUCUCCGCCGAUGAACUUUAUGAAGUUAUAAUUCAUCUAGGUACACCAAUGUUCAUCUUUCAUCUAGACGAUUAUGAUCUUAACCCCAUGAUGAUGAAGUAUAUUGCUUAGCUCUCUGAGGGAAAAAGCGAGCUACCCUUCAUGAUAGAUUAGAGGACGAAACUGCUUUAUUGUUCGCAUCAAAUCACAAUCAUUUACCGGCAACCUAGGUAAUGUUAGCUUUCCAUUUCUUAAAUCCAAAUUCGAUGGAUUGAAACCCAUAAAUGGUAUUCAGGCCACCAUCUAGAUCUGGAUCCAUGAAAAGGGAACUCUAAUCAAUUGUUUUCUUAGGUUCUCUUCUCUCUUUACGCUGCUUCACGGUUGAAUUCAACCAAGUAUCACUCUUUACAGAUUUGCAUAUCUAGCAAUCAGGUAUCAAUAUCUACUUUUAAGACAUUUUCGAUAUGUAAAAAAAAUCUACGAUCACAAAGCUCAGUCACUUAAUUUUUUUAUCAUAUGAGACAUCUUAAACCGUCUGUGAAUUUCAGAAAAAUGAGAAAUUGAUUCGACUGGACGCUCAUCUUGCCUUUUUUGUUGCGUGCUCUAUUACUGCUUUCUCAGGUGCAUGAUACUUAACCAACCGAAUCUAACUUAGGCAAAUGUAAAGCAAAUAUAGCUAACACCGUAGAUAAUUAUUAACAUCUAUAAGUCUAUAAACUAGUAGAGACUGAUUGAAAUUUUGAAAUGGACAAAAUCAAACACAAAUUGCUAGUAACCAUAGAUUAAGAAUUUGCUUCAACAUGGUACUAAAUUUCAAACUUUGCCAGAAAAGGGAGGAAGAAAACAAUUAUGUGGUACCCAAAUUAUGAAUCUAUGGUUAUUCAAGUCAAUUUCAUUCACACUUUUAUCCCUAAUUAGCUUAAAUGGAUGGCAAAUGGGCGCACGAGUUUUUCUAUAGAAUGCUGAAAAUUUUAUAUUAAGUCAACUGCGUUACUAAUUCGACUUGGAAUCAUUUUCUCUAGUGUGCAAACGAUUUCUUGUUUUCACCAAUUGUGCACGCCUCAGUUCAUCUUUGAUCAACUCCCCUAUGCUCAUCCAGAGUACCAAAUCUAAACUCAUUCACCGAUAUUUUAUUAUUAAUUCCAUUUAUCUUAGUAAUUUCAACGAUGAGCUUGAUUUGUUUUCUUGUUGAUCUUGCCAAGUACGUUUCAUAUACAUCCAAUCAUGAACAACUUGAUAUCUUGAAUCACAAAAUAUGACCCUAUUAGUGGUUGGAGUUGGGGUGGAAAUUAAAUGGAUUUAGGUUUUGAACCGUAUGAAUAUAAUCUCACUCUUUUGUGUCACUCUAAUUUUUAUGUUAUAACAAAGUUGUUUCUAUUUUGGAAAGAUUUAUGUAUUAGCUAUCCAAGUAUUAAUUAUGUUUUGGAUUCAAUAUAUAUAUAUAUCUUCAGAGGCUAGCAAAUUGGUCGUGACUACUUAUGGGGUCGAGGUUUUGUCAGUGAAUUUGAGUAGCUUGCGUAAGAUCAAUGGAGUCGAGGUUUUGGGAAUCAUCAGCUUAUUGAUAGGAAAUCCUAAACCUCAUUGCUCUUAAAUAUGUGAAGAAGGAGGAAGUAAUUGAAGAUCCUCUUAAGUAAGUAUAUAUCUAGGCUUUCUUGUACAACUUCUUUAUGAUU